GGACCGAUUCAAAUAUAUGGCUACAUUUGGUUCAGAUAUAAAUAAGAACUAUUUGUUUCAUAGAUAGAUAUAAAUUCAGGCGUAAACAGUAAUUAGAUUAAUUUUGUGUUUAGAUAAAAUUUAGGUUGUUACUGAAAAUAAGGUAAAUAGUAUUUGGGUGAUUAGAUUGUAAUAAAAGGAAUAAAAGUUAUAAUUUUAAAUUAAAAAUAUUUUAUCUAAUUAAUUAACAUCAAAAUAUUAAUUAAAGAUAAUUUCAUAAAUUAAUAAAUUUAUUAGCUAUGAAUAUUGUCUACGACAAUGAAAAUAUAUAUUAAUUAAUUAACUAAAUAUGAAGUAUGAUUUGAAUUUUUACUUAGUUAGUAAAUUAUUUAGUUAGAUAACUAGUAAAAAAAAUUAAUUAGAUUAAUAGAAAUAUUAAUCGUUGAUCAAUAUAAAUAUUAGUUUAUGAAUAAACACGUUAAAUUAUUAAUAAUUAAUUAGCUAAUUAAUUAUAAAUAAUAAAUUAAUUAAUUAGUUUAUUAUUUAAGUAAUUGAUAAUGACUUAAAUAUACUAAUUAGAUUAAUUAAUAAUUUAAUACCAUAAUUAAAAUUAAAUUUAGAUUUUAAUUAAUAUUUUUCUUACUUGAGAACAAACUUAUUCUAGAAAAAAGAGUGGAAUAUAUAGCAGCUCCAGACCUAUUCCGGAUUAUACCAGCUUAUUCUAAAAAUUCGAGAACUAUCGUUCUCGGAUACCAAACACAAUAUUUUUGUAGGAGUUUUAGUUCAGAUAGAUUCAAAUGGCACGAGGUGGAAUUUGGCUUGACUGAACUGCAAAGUCGAUCGUUGUGAUUGAAGGGUAUAGCAUUUCUUUAUCAGUAUUAUAGUUGAUAUAUCAUAAUUGAUAUAUUGCUUUCCUUUUCUAUUAUAGAGAUAUGAUAGCAAUAGUUAUUAUUUAGUUCAGUUACUCCAUAUCGUUAUGUAAUUAUUCUUUAAUUUUAUCUCUAAUAGAUCUAGUGGGUGGAAUAUUGUUAUCAUCAAUCGUAACUACUGAGAAUUAGAAAUUCUCAUGCUCUCUUAUGAUUUACUGUUCAAAGUCCUCUUUUGUUUGACUGAGAUAAGAAGAUCGCGCAAUAGAUAGCGUCUCCUACCCGCGGGUGCGAUGAUAGAGGAGGACUACCGGCUAGCUUAUUAUUUUGGCAUGAUACUACACAUCGAGAGUGGCGAGGUCAGAGCUCUUUAUUUGUAUUUAUAUUUAUAUUUUAAGAGAUUGUGGUUGUAUAGACGUAAGUACAGUGAUAGUUUGAUUGUAUUUAGUUUUAUAUUUUACUAUGAUACUUAUUAGUUGUGGACUCCCGAAAUUUAUUUAGUUGUCGACUCCUAGAAUUGUUGUUUCCUGAUAGGUUUUUAUUUCGAACGCUUCGUGUGUGCUGAGUGCGUCCUUGCACAUGCGACAAAUUUGUUCGUGUACCUGGGAGUUUUUGUUGUGGACCGGGGCUGUGACAAGUGUUAGAAAUUUUGUUAAAAAAAAAUGUUCUAAUUUAAAAAAUUAUGACUAAUUAAACUUAUUGUAGUAACUUUUGGUGUAACUAGCUAACCUCACUUUUAUAAACAUCUAAAUAUUUCUUUUCCGAACAAUGCUAUCCUGAGUUUAGUUUAUCUCCUGUAUUUUUAGUUCCUAUAGAUGCUUUGUAUUCUUAUGCUAUGCACGUACAGAAAAAAUUUUGUCUAUGUAGUAAGUCUGUGCGCGAGCCCAGUCAACUUCUGUGUCGGGGCGUAACAAAUAAAGAAUAAUUUAUGCUUAAUUUUCUUGCCUCUCACUUAGGAAUGUUAACGAGUCAGUUUUAGAGUGAUAUUUACAAAACCCAAAACUGAAUCGAACAAAAAAUUAAAAUUUGAAUUCGUAUCCCAACCCAACCGUUUCGAAAAGUUUAAAAUUGAAACCACCCUGCUAUUAAAAAAAAAACAAAACCAAAAACCCUUACCCGGAACUGAAAAACUAAACUCAACUGGCCAACUAUAUAUCUAGUAACGUACGUAUAAAAUUAAUCAUUAAUAUAUAUAUAUAUUACUUAUUAAGAGUUGAGCUGAAAUGCUAUCGGUAGCAAACGAGCUUCAUUACCACCCAUUUAUUUUCGAUGAUGAAGCCUCCAAAUCAACGAUUGGUACCGUUGAAUAUGAUCUAUACCACUUAAAGCAUCUAGAAAUUAAAUUUCAUACUUUUCCGAUAUUGUUCUCGUGUCCAUCAAGUAGACACAAAAAUAAAUGGCUGAAAAUGAAUAUUCUCUAAAAAGUGAUGAUAGAAGUAUUGUAUUUAAGAUCGAGAGUAUUAACCUUAUUCUAAAUAGUUUAAAAAAUUUUCUAACCAAAAUUCAAUUUAUUUGAAUAUAUAUAUCUCUGCACCGUUAAACUAAAAAACGCCUCAUAUCGACCAUUAAAAUUACAAAUUUUAAAAACCUUUGAAUAUUGGGUCAAUGAUGUCGAAAAGAUUUAAAAUUUGAUUUCUAGAUUAUAUUCUAGAAAUCCUUAAAGUGGUAUAGAUUAUAUUCAAUUAUGCCGAUUGUCGAUUUAGAGGCACUAUCAUCGAAAACAAAUAGAUGACAACAGAGUCCGUUUGCUGCUAAUAGUAGUCCAGCUCAACUCGAAUUAUUAAAAUAAAUAUCUAAAAAAUACAUUUUACAUAGCAGGAUUUUAUACAAUUUUACUUUCCUAUUCGGUUUCAGGGUCGGAUUUGGUUCGGAUCCAAACAGAAACCAAAGAUCCGUAACUAUGACCAUAAUCAUUGGAUUUUAAAAUUUUAUUCUCACAAAUAAAAAUCUCGAUUAAAAGGGCUUUUUUUGCAAAUAGCCCCCUGAGCAAUUUUUAUUUUAAAAAUAGCCCUAUGAAAAUUAAAAUUGCAAAAAUGGCCCUAUCCCUGCCACGCAGGCGCCACGUCAGCACCACGCGGGCAGGGCUGGGGCCAGGGUAUUAAGUUGAACACGGUGAAUCAUUCACCGUGUCUAAACACGGUGAAUGGUUCACCGUGUUUAGUACACGUAUAUUGAAAAGUGGAAUAAGGAGUAGGGAUGUCAAUAGGUAUGGAUACCCGAAAUAUUAUCCGAAUCCAAACCCGAAUAAAUUAUAUAUAUAUAUACGUAAUUUAUUUUUGUUUAUUUAUACAAUAUAUAAAAUAUUUAAUAAUUUUUAUUUUUUAGAUUUAUCCAACGGGCACGCUAGGUUGGAUGAAGAUGUAAGGAAUAAAAAUUAUUAAAUAUUUUAUAUAUUGUAUAAAUAAGCAAAAAUAAAUUACGUAUAUAUAUAAUUUAUUCGGGUUUGGAUUCGGAUAAUAUUUCGUAUAUCCAUACCUAUUGACAUCCCUACUCCUUAUUCCACUUUUCAAUAUACGUAUAAAAAAAUACGUACUAAACACGGUGAACCAUUCACCGUGUUUGAACACGGUGAAUGGUUCACCGUGUUCAACUUAACACACGGGCCCAGCCCUGCCCGCGUGGCGCUGACGUGGCGCCUGCGUGGCAGGCCCAGGGCCAUUUUUGCAAAUUAAAUUUUGAUAGGGCUAUUUUUAAAAUAAAAAUUUGUCAGGGAUCUAAAUGCAAAAAAAGCCCCGAUUAAAACGGUCUCAGUCGGAAACGAAUUCGGAUAAAAUAUGGAAUAUCCGUACACAUCGACGUUCCUGCUGUCUCUGUCCACUCCGUUGUUGUCUCAGCAUUAGAUUCUCGCACGAAAAAAGAGACAAAAAUUCUACGGAGAGAUUUGCUUACACGACAUGCAAUCUCAAGAAUCGCUUAGUUUACGUAAUUAAGCCCUAAAAAAAUUAAUUUCUUUAUUAAUAGAUUAUAUAACUUCUGUGAUGUCGAAACAGAUAGCGUUUACAUUGUAUUCAUAUUUCCUUUUCUUUCAAAGAGAGAAAUAACACCAUUUGUAUUAGGAUGUAAAUCUUAAAGACAAUCUACAAUUUUUAUUUUUCAAAAUUUUUAAUAUUAAAAUAAAAAAAUUAAUAAGGUGUUGGGAGUCGAAGUUCUGGAUCGUUGAUUCGGUCAAUAGUCCGCUUUAGAAAGCGAGCAGAGAAAUGGAGCAGCUUCUGAAAGUGACCCUUGAGAAUGCACUCAAGUCUAAAUUAAGUGAUCGACUGAUGAGGGAUCUGCUCAGCCAAGUUCAAGCACUUCACUAUAUAUUCGGUUAAGAUUAGCCGAGUGAUUUCAAUGUAUAUUUCAAAAGUGACAGAAGUUUACAUGACGAUGGGUCUCACUGCUACCGUUGAUUACAAGAAAAUCUAUUUUAAAAACUACUCCUAAAAAAGCAAAGAAUGCAAGAAAAUUAAAGACUACAAAUAGACUACUUCUAGAAGAGCAGAAAAAAUACUGUAAAAUAUAAUAGUUUUCUUGUUCGUAGAAAAAAAAGACCACUCUGACAAGCAUAUUCUGUUUAUUUAUAGUCCCGAACUUGUCAUUAUUCGGUUAUUCUCCAUUACGGGGUAUGUCUCGGCUAUAUCCUUAUUUAUGCGGGCCACUUCUAGCCGAUCUCAACCGUGUUUUCGCCUAACAAAUUUUCAGUUUUGGGCGUGUUCUUCCCAGAUCCUAGCGCACCGUAUGGCGCUCCAUGUUUGGCUUUGGGAGCCCUUCACGUAAUGUGGACCAACUUAUCAUGUUGCGUCAUUUUUAUAGUGCCAACAUAUAUAAGAUUGAUAAAAGAAUAUAAGUCAUUAGAUAAAUAAGAUAUAAAAAUUUGCACCCUGGUUAUGGAUGUAUAAAUGUAGCAUUGCCCAUACAAGAAUAACUUGCUUCUUAUUCCUCAUGUCCCAUCACAUUAUCAAGAGAAAAGGCACUUAUGCCUUUCAAAAGCAGGAGCAUUAGAUGCUCAAUCUUUAUCAAUCUAAUCUCAAUUUAAAAUUGAUGAGCGAUUACUACAAAAUACAUCAAUAAUCAAUCGGGCUCGAUCGAUUUAGUGUAGCAGGAAGCUGAAAUGAGCAUAAGGGCCUCCGAAAUAUAUAGAAGCUCAAAUUUGAAACUUCAAUUUUUAUACACUGUAGCAGUUUGGAACAACUUUAUUUGUUCAAAAGUAGUAGUUAAGUGUUCUGAGAUAUGGAAAGUAUGAAAAAUUUAUUACGGCGGGAACAAAACAGUACAAAAUGCUAAGAAAAGAAAGAAACUUUAGCAAAAAUCGAUUAGUAUAUUAUCGAAAAGUUCCAAGCAAUAGUAAUUCUAUGCAAUAUUAAUUUAGUACCUGAAUCGAACAAGCUAGUUGGACCGGUUCAGAUCGUGACCCAAUACCCAAAUCGGUUUGGUUCAACCCACGAAAUCGGUUGGACCGGCUCAAAACCGUUUUUUCAUUAGUGAACCGAUUUAAUGGCUCGAUUUUAUAAGAUUCGACCAUAUUUCUCUUUUUUAUAUUAUUAUUAAUUAAUUAAAAAUAUGCAUAUUUUUUUAUAAUCUGCAGUUUGAAUAUAUUUUUAAUUAUAUAUACUAUAUAAUAAUGUUAAAAAUAAUGUAAAAUACUAUACUUAGAUAACUUUUUUAUUAUAUACAGUAUAUAAAAACAUAAUAAUUAAAUAUUUACGAUAUUAUGCUAACUAGGGAGUCAUUGUGUACAUAUACACGUGAUUUUACUCUACUCCGAAUCUCACAGGGUGGGUUUAAUCGAUAAUAAACAUGUAUGAUUUCGAUUAUGAAUAAAAAAACGCGGAACUCGGGUUCAAUUAUGAUUUUUCUCUAUAUAUCUGAAUAAAAUCCGAGCCCAAACCGAACCGUUUUAAAUAUUUAUUUUAAUAUCAGUAUAAUCCAAUAAUAUUUUCGGAUCAUCAAUUAUAUUGAGUUUUAAAACAUUGGUUCUGCAAAGACUCUAACUCAAAUAAAUUUUUAGCGAAAAAAAGGUGCUAGUAUUUUUUGGUUCGUCGCAUUCAAACAACACCACUAUGCCUAUUAAAUAGGGGUGCAAUUCAUGCUCGCUGUUGCGCUUCGAGCGCAGCUCCAGUGUUUGGCUCGAAUUGAGCUCUGGAGAUGCGGGCUCGCGGGUCGUGCUUAUAAACGAGCAACUAUUGAACGACUAGCUGAAUAUUUUUAGCUCGUUUAUAUAACGAGGCAAUGCGCGAACACACUAUGGAGCCUUGGGUCAGCUCGCUCCCACUCGUUUCGUCCAUUAACAACUCGAAAUACAUAUAUUUUAAUUUUAUAUAAUCUUAUUGUAAUUUAUAUAUUUUAUAUAUACGCAAUAAAUAAUUUAUAUAAUAUAUAUUUUAGUUACUUUUAAUUCUUAGCAAACAUAAAAAUAUAAAUACGACGCUUAAGUUCUAUAAAAAAAACUUCAUUUAUAUGUAAAGUGUUCAGUAUUACAGCUCAAAAAGUUUAACUGGAUAAGAUUUUAAUAAUUUAUUUUUAUAUUAUACUUUAAGCUAAUUGUUUUUUGAAUUUGAUGUUCGUUCUCAGUCGUCGUCGAGCCACUCUGUGGGUCGCGUCGUUAAUAGCGGAGUCGAAUCUCAAGCUGUUGAUAUUUUCGGCCUCGAUGCUUAUUUGAGCCUAAGCGUUUCGUUGUUUCUUCGUUUAAUAACAGCCCGGUAACAGGCGGGACCGUACUCAGGUGUGGGGCGGGGUCGGUCUGUUUCGUUCGUCUGCGUUUACACCCCUCCUCACCACCUAGAAGAGUAUCUGGGUUUGAUCUAGCUAAACCUAAGUAUAGAUUCAUCAUUGAUAAUAUAACAGAUCAAAAUUAAUGACCGGUCGACAGAAUGAUACAUUCUAACUCUACGCAACGGAGGAUAUUUGACUGUCGAGAAAGAAAAUGUUGAUGAAAAUACUAUUUGUAAGUAGCCCAGCAUUAUCUUAGGUGCUAAAGCUUUUUAGCAUCCUUUAAAUCGUCAGGGAGUUUAAACAACCACAUUUAAGAAAAACUAUAUCUGUUUUAAGUAUACGGAUAGUUAAUAAUAAAAAAAUAAUAAUUAAUGUAAAAACCUUAUUUGUACUUGCUGAAAAAUUUAUAGCUUCUGUUUAUUGAGAACGGUUUUUAAAUAUGUUUUAAUAUUCUAACCACUCCCCGCACGUCUGGACUUGAGGACUUUUAGUCGCUCUAUGACGUUGUAGCUCUGUAAUUAAAAUGAGUAGAAAGAUUAAUAUUUAGUUAGCCUGCACGUGAACUCGAACCUCUAGGGACCUUCCUUCUGCUGCUGAUAUUACCUAUGUAAAAUCCAACUAUUGUACCUAAAAUAAACUUAAGCUGUUAGAUGAUACGAUAUUUAAAUAUUUUAUAUUUUAACAAAUAAAAUAAUAAAAAAAAGAAGAAAUGAGCGAAACAAAUUAGCAUGGAAAUAUCAUGUGUAUCAUUACAACUAUAACAAAAUAAGUAUAGCAGGCGGGGAAUAAGCAUUGUUUAUUAUUGAAAAUAUAAUAUCACACCAUAGUUGACACUUAAUUUCGGAUAGGUAACAAUUGUAUGAAAAAGUAUAAAACGAAUAAAAUUGUAUCUUGAUUUUAAAUUCGUUGAAAACCACACGUUUGAAAAAAUCGCGUCUGUCCAAUAAUUUCGUAUACGCAAUUUAUAUAAGAAAUUUUAUAUUUUAGCCAAUUUAAAAUUCGACUAAAAAUUCGUUUACUAACAUUAGAAUAUUUUUUUUUAAUUUAUGCGUAUUUAUCAUUAAAUAAAAUUAUACAUUCUUAAUGAACAGGCUAAAAUGAAAAAAUAUAAAAAAUAUAUCGAUUAUUAUAUGAUAUCAAAAUACGUAUUUCAAAUUCGGUUUGUCCAAUAGACCGCCAAUUUUUAAAAAUUCCUUUCUUUUUUCUCGUAUGCAAAAUAAAUCUAAUAACGAAACAAACUUUAGUUCCACUUUUUCCUCCAACUAUUUAUACUUUUAUUUUUUAUUAAAAACAUAAAUAUUUAUAAUUAUCUCUAUUCUGUCAACUUAAUAUUUAAUUGUUAUAUCCUAAUUCGAAUAUUCUUUCUUUUUAAGAUAAAGUAUUUUAUUUCUCUAUUCUGUCAAUUAAUAAUGCUUAUUUAUUAUAUCAUUCAAUAUAUUUUCUUUUUAAAAUAAAUAUUUAUAUAUUAUCUCUAUUCUAUCUAUUAAUAUUUUAUUGUUAUAUUAAUUUUUUAAUUUUGAUACUUUUAGUUUAAAAUAUAUAGCGAAAUUAAAAAAUAUAAAAAAAUAUUCAAUGUAUAACUAUAUCUACACUAUAUAUAAAUUUUAUAAAAUAAAACAAAACUAUAUAAUUAUUGUUGGCAACAACCAUUUAAAUUUGAGUUAGAAUAUAUGACAGAUAUUUUUUAAUAUUAUAUAAUAAAUAAAAUGAUUUUUAAAAUUUAAAUUUAUAUUAUAAAUCUUUGAAUAAAUAUGAUCUAUAAUUUUAUAUUAAUUUGAGAUAGUUAUUCAAAUAUUUAUUACGUGCAUUUGCAUGUAUACUCAACUAGUAUAUAUAUACAAACAAACAUAAAUGACAUAUUUGGUUCACUUUUUUUUCACCCUGAAAUCGAAAUCGGAAUCUAAAUGGAUGAAUCCGUUUAUCCAUUUUUGGUUGAAUGGAAAUCCUCUCAAUUACUUUUUUUUAAAAUAUUUUAAAAAGUAAUUCUUUUGGAUUCAAAUUUUAAAUUUUUAGUCAGUUCAAAUUUAAAGGGUUUAGGAUUUGAUAAAAUUUUAAAAAUUUAUUCUAAAUCCGAUGUAGUGACAUCCAAUGUCGCCACGUGGCGAUCAUUGGGUAAAGUGUAGAGCGUACGACACGUCGUUACACGUCAAUGUUGUCGAGGAACGUCUGUGGGCCCCAGCUGCCGGCUGCUUUCUGGUGGGCUCCACUUUCAGCGACCUCCUGAUUUAGAUUUUAUUAUAUAUUAUUUAUUUAUUUUUUAAAAGACACGUACAUAAAUAAGGGUGAAAAUCGAGUUUGCUGUUCGGGAGCCGGCGUGAGUUCGGCUCAAAAUAAGUUCGAAACCGAACAACUCUCGUUUAUAAACGAAUCGAAUACGAACUAAAUUUUUCAGCUUAUUUAAUUAACAAGUCGAAUACGAGUUAGAACCAACUUGUUUAUGUUCGAUUUGAUAACGGCUCGAAUAGUACAGUGCACGAAGUAAAAAUAUUGGCAAAGUACAGUAUCGUCUAGUAUAAUUGAUGCAACAAGAUAAGAAUAGGCUGCAGAUAUUGUACUGUAGAAAAAGAAAAGUGACAAAUAAAAAAAGAUGAAAGAAGUAAGAUAAGGUGCAUUAACUUGACAGAGGCCAAACACCCAUUAAAAAAGAUCACACAUAUUUAAAAUAAAUUUUUAUUAACCAAACUCUUCUUUCCACAACUGAUAUCAAACCCUAACUCUAAUCCUAGUCAGAUCCCGUAAUCGAAAAAAUUUAUCUAAAGCAAAUAAUUUUAAUUUUAAUUUAAAAUUUUCAAAUUCGUAUUCCUAAUUUUCAGCCAAUUAUUCCACAUGAAAUAUAGUAAAUUAUUUUUUAAAAAUUAUAUAAAAUAAAUCAACAAAAAUAAAAAUCACGAAAAUUUUAAAAAGUUCUAACUAAUAACUUUUUUGGAAUAAUUGCCUAUAUAUAUACCCUUCAAAACUUCGAAAAUAUAUAAUUUAUUCCUGCUUCUUUUUGUUUCUAAUAUAUUCCUUGUAUGUUCCUCCGCUAUUCAAAAAUACCUCCAUAGUUACCAUCAAUUAAGUUAUCUCGGGUUAAAUAUAAGUUAAAUGCCUAUCAAAAUUAAAAAAAACUAAAACACAUUUUUUGUCCUUAACGAAGUAUAUUAGGAAAGACCAAAAAUUAAAAUACUUUUUUUCCUUUAACUUAAAGACAAAUAAGAAAAUUUUGUGAUGAUAGAAGAAUAUGUUUGAAAGGGCAAAAUAAUAAUUUUACAGAGAUAAUAGCUAUUUCUAUAUGUUCCUUAACAUAAUUUAAUUUUAAGAGUAUAUUUAAAAUAAUUUAGAACAUAAAAAAUAUAUUUUUAAUAUUAAUGUUUCUUAGAAGGAUAAAUUAAAAAGUCGAAAAUUUUCUGGGUAUAUAAGGAAUUGCCCUUUUAAUACUAACUUUUCUCUUUGGCAUUUUCUAGAAAGCUCUAACUUUAGACGUGCAAAAGCACGUGGGAUGCUGACCAAAAUUGUGAAACUUUACUCUCGAUCUGAUAAAAGAUUUGAGAUUCCACUGCUUUACCUUCUUUAUUAGUUAGGGUUUAGGCCAUGGAGCAUACAAGCACUUGAAUAUGUAAAUGAUCCUCUUUAAUUUGUUUCAUCAGUAAAAUUUUAAUUUACUUUUGGUUACUGUGAUGAAAAUUAUGAUCAGUUAAUUAAUAAAUAUGUUGAAUUUGCAGAUUUUAUUCAAGCUUAUAGUGGCUAUAUCAGUUCACACAAUAGCGGCGGAUGCAUAUAUAUAUCUGAGUGGGCUCUAAGUUUAUUGACCCGACUAAGGAUGAUGCAAAAUAUCUUAUUUUAUAGGCCUACUUGAGAAAAACUUUUUAGUUGGACAUUUUUCUGUAUAAAUUGACUCCACUGGGGUCCAAGUUGAUACAGGUGGGAUCCAAUAAAAUUUUCGUAUUAGAUAAGAAUGCUAUAGCGGGUCUGAUGACCUGCUAACUUUUUUUCUUAGCAGUAGCAAAAAAAUUUAAAAAAAUUAAUAAAAAAAUUCUAGGCAGAAAGAAUACUAAUAAUUAGUUCAUUUUUUUAUACAAUACUAAUAACUAAUUCAUUUUAUAUAUAUAUAUUUUUUUUUUCUCCCUUAUAUAUUGACCCCAUAAGAGAAAAUUUUUAGAUCUGUCACUGAGCUCACAAUUUGCUAAUUUUGAUAGGAUUUGUAGUUCUAUUUGUUAAAAGCACAGGAGCAUUUGUACUUUUGACUUUUCAAUCAUCUGAUUGACUCAAGAUCUAUAUAGAAUAAUUGCAAAUAAACUCUCCCCAAUAAUUCCGCUCUUGGUUAUAAGCCCUAGCGCUAUGCACCAAUCUGGUGUCUAAGUUUCGAAACGUAGUCUUGGCAUUCUGAAACCUCAAUAGGUUCCGGAACCUCAAUAGAGGUUUCACAGAAUCCAAACAUCCCGCCCUCUCAGCCCAUAGUUCAUGUUCCGGAACCUCAGUGUUAGGUUUCAGAACCUGACACAAAUUUGAAUUCCUUCUCUUUGUCGGGUUCAAAUUUUUGGAUAUUAUGCGAGGUCGAUCGUCUAUUCAAAAAUUUCUUCCUCGAAAACAACUUAGAAGCACCAGAAGCUCCACAGCUCAAAUCUCUCACUAUAUAUGUAUGUAUGUCAAUAUAAGGUCACAAAUUAUAUAGGUAAGAACAAUAAUCUCGUCAUUUCUAACCUUCAGGUAAAUAGCAAUCGCCAGAUUGCGAAUUGCAAAAUUAGGAAUGACGAGUUCUAACAUACUAUAAUUAGUGUUAACAAUACUAGUCUUAUGUCGGAUAAAAAUGAAAUCUUUGAUUUGUAAAUAAUGUGAAGGGUGUUAUCUUCACUUAAUGAAAUCUUUGAUUUGAUUAUAACGACCGUCCCUAGCGCAACUAGCAAAAAGCUUGAUGGUAUAUAUCCAAGGCCCAAGUUCGAAUCUUAGUUGAUUCAAAUUUUCAGCUAAAUUUAUUUUUAAAUAAAAUAAAUGAAACGGAUAGUAUGCUAUCUUAAAAAAAAAAAAAGAAAAAAAGAAAAAAAGAAAAAGGCUUAGCUUUUGACUGGGUCUGAGCUCUUUAAUAAGGCAUUUGAACUUGAUUCACAAGCGCUAGUUUAUGGUCAUCCCAAUGGCCGCGCUCAUGCUAAUCGCGCGUACGUGAAGUUGUUGUAUCACACACUAACUGCACCUAACUUUGUGCAUAAGUUUGUGCCACGUGCUACUAGCACUACAACAGAAUUAGAUUAUAGGAACAUAUUUUUGGUAUACUUUUAUAUAAGUGUUUCAUUUAUACCAAAAUUUUUUAAAAAAAUCUAUUAAGGCCUAAGUAUAAAUUCAAUCCAAUCAAAAGUAAAAAGUUCAUCUACUCAACCAACCACACCCAGCCUACUCUGCCCGAUUACAAAUAAAAAAGGAAAAAAAAAAUGAAAAAAUGAUCACCAUCUCGCAUUCUCCUCUUUCGCCACCAUAGCCAACGAGGUAGGAUUUCGACAGCCGGAGUUUGGCCACGAGGAUCUCGCAGGGACCGCAGAGGGCUACAAUCGUCACAUAUCCCUCCGCCACAAGUCGCUAGAGGAGUGAAUUCCAAAUAUCAAGGCGGCCCUAUCUAUAGCGACCCUACAUAUAGCAACACUUUUAAAAAGUGUCGGUAAUUUAGUCAACAGUACUUUUUUUGAUCUGUACCGAUAUUUAAAAGUGUCGUUAUACACCAUUUUUGUUGUAGUGUAGCAUCUAUAGUAGUAGCACUUAGGGUUAGUGGGGUGUUGAGACUAAUUAAUAAAUACAAAAUGAAAUAUUGAACUGCAUAUAAUAAGAUGUGUAUGAGAUUCCGGAAUUUAAAAUAGUCCUAUAUAUAAAGUAUAAUAGGACUAAAGCUUUGUAUCCUGUUAUAGCACUUUGGAUGCUGGUUAGACCCAAGAGGUUAAAAGAGUUAAACAUGUUAGGGUUAGAGUAGUCCUAGGAUGGGUGAUCUUUUGGAAAGUGGGGUGCACAGUUAGUAAUAGAACUAAUUACCAGCCGAAAAUGUGAGAUAAGUUUUGGCUGAGUCAGAGUUAUACAACAAGUAGAGUGAGACUUUUUGGCUGAUGACUCUACGAGUCUCACAUCGCCUGAUACUUAUGAAUAUAUCUGAAUAUGGUAAGGACAUCAGGGUUUAUAGAAAGGGGUAGAAUGUGGGACCCCAGGAUUUGAAAUAGUUUUAUAUAAAAAGAAUAAUAAAAUUAAAACCUUUAACUCCGCUUUAAUAUUUUGGGUGGUGAUUAGCCCCAAGAAAUUAAAAGAGUUAAGCUUGUUAGGACUAAAAUGGAGCAUCACCACAAGUAUAUCCAUCUAAUAGCUUAAGGUAGCAUUUGGUUUUGGAACGGGGGGAGGGGGGAAUAAGCCCUUGUUCCCCGUUUUGUUCCCAAACGGUAUUUUUAGUACCUAAGAACAGCAAUUCUUCCACCUUUGAAAUAAGUUAGUAUAAAUUGAUAUAACCUUGAAACACUUGUUCCACCCUCCCUCUGGAACAAACUUGUUUCCAAGUAGAAACAAGAUUAAGUAAAAUCUAAUCUAAUUUUAAUUACGGUAUUAAAAAUUAUUAAUUAAUCUAAUUGAUGUAUUUAAGGCAUUGCGUAUUGCUUAAAUAGUAAAGUAAUUAAUUAAUUUAUUAUUUAUCAUUAAUUAAGUCAUUAAAAAUUAAUAUAUUAAUCAGCUUAUUCAAUAACCAAUAUUUAUAACCAUUAAUAUUUUGACUAAUCUAUUUAAUUUUUAACUAAUUAUCUAAAUAAAAUAAUUUACUAACUAAUUAAAAAGUUAAGUUAUUUAUAUAAUUAACUAAUAUUUAUAUUUAUUAAAUUAUUAAUUUAUUAUAAUAUUCAUAGCUAAUAAAUUUAUUAAUUUAUUGAAUUAUUUUUAAUUAAUAUUCUGAUGUUAAUUAAUUAGAUAAACUAAUUUUAAUUUAAAUUUAUAACUCGUAUUCCUCAUGUUCCAAUCUAACUAUCCAAACGACCUUUAUCUUAUUCACAGGGACAAAUUCAAUUUUCAUUCAAACGCAAAAUUGGUCUAGUUCCUCUUAAUACCUCAACUUGUAUAUAUAUCUGAAAUAAGCUAUUCUUACUUAUAUCCGAACCAAAUGCAGCCUAAAUUCUGAAACAAGCAGUUCUUAUUUAUAUCCGAACUAAAUGCAGCCUAAAUUCUGAAAUAAGCAGUUCUUAUUUAUAUCCUAACCAAAUACAGCCUAAAUUUUCCGGCGGGUCAGAAUCCUUGAACAAAACAGGAGUUUGCUAGUUUUCCCAAGCAAUUGCUCAAGUAUAAGCAGCCAAGAAGUUGAGCUCAGCAAGUAGCAGUUAACACAUAAGCUAGCACACAUUCCAUGUCUGGUUGCUUGCUGGGAUUUGGCUUCAUGUUAAUAGAAAAGGAGACACCCAAUGCCCAAUGGGAAAAGGUUGAUCCACAUGACAAUGCAAUAAUAGGAGUGCUUUUGACACAAAAGACAUGUAAAAAAAGCUAAAAGAAGUAAAGGAAAAUACAAACUUUAUGCUAAACUAAAGUGAUUGACUUAGUCCCAGUAAAAGGGAAAGAAAAAAAAGGUGAAGAAGCUUUAAUUUAAUGUUCAUCAAAAUUACUUCUACAAAAAAUAUAGAAAAAAAAUAAAUAACCUAGGAAUUUUAUUUUUUUUUUUGAUUAAACUGGGGUAUACCCUGUUUGAGGAAUUACACUGGUUAAAAAAAAAAAAAAUCCAUAUGACAGUUAAUUAUUUUAGUUAUGCAAGUUCCCCUUUUUUUUUUUCCUUUUUGCAAAGUCACUUAAAUGGUUUUAGUACAUAGAAAUUACUUACCUAUCAAUAUACUUCAUAAAAGUCCUUAAAGAUGUGCUUAAAUAAUUAACUACUCUCCAAAAAGAGAUUUACUACUACUAUUCACAACUACCAUCCAAAAGAGCAAUUAAUGGCCAAGGAAUGUAUUGUGCAGAGAUAUUUGUCAUCAAUAUUAAUUAAUAAGUAUUUUCUAACAUUUGAGUGGCAUAUAUAUUUGACAUCAUACUUAGUAAAUAUAAAUAAACACGAUAAAUGGACCUGCUGAAUAUUUUGUUACUUUUCUUAGUUUUUAUAUCACCACUUAAAUAAGCGGGAUAAUUUUAGAAAAAAAAUAUGACCUAAAAUUCAUCAGUAAGAAACUUUCAUUUUUUUAUGAUAAUUCAUCGAUCUGUUAAAAAAGCUUAUUUAUUCCUAUAAGAAUAAGUCAGAAUGUGUUCUAAAAUAUUUUUUUUUGAGAAAGAGGUAGCAGGCUACCUGCUUCAUUCAUUAAGUAAAAUGAACUAGGCAUACAUGGUGAAAGCAGCUAAGGCUUCCGAAAAGAAAAAUGGCAACAAAAGAAAAAAGGUAAAGUUAUAGUAAGAAGUAAAGAAAAGUCAAAAGUAAAAGUAAAAGUAAAAGAGAAAGUAGAACAGCUGAGUCAGGCUCUGGCAGAAAGCUCGCUCCAUACUGAAAUCAAACAUUGGACGCUAUCCAGUGAAAGAGAAGGGACCAGGGGUAUCUCGCGAAAGAGGAAGUUGUUCCUCACGGUCCAGAUCACCUACCAGACGGCCGCCAGGUGGGUUAGGCAUUAGGAUCUUGUACCAGCAUCGUUAAAACUAGAAGCCCUUAUCCAUAGAUCUCGGAUGUCCUCCAUGGGCUGUGUGAGAAAGAACGGUCCAUCCACAGUGAGGAGGAGGUAUCAAACAAAAACACAUUGACUAAAAAGGUGGUCGCAUGUUUCUAUGUCGAAAGCGCAAAAGACGCAGUGAUGAACCGCUAAAAUGCCGCGUCUUGUGCAGGCGGUCGGCAGUUAGGAGUCUCUUACGGAGUAGUAACCAGAUGAAUACUUUAAAUUUAAGAGGGAUUUUCAACCGCCAAAGAAGGUGGCUCGUAGGGUCUCGUAUUCCAGUGUCAGAAAGAAACAGGUAGAGGGAUUUUGUGGUAUAUUGUUGGUUGGAAGUCCCACGCCAGUAAACCAAGUCCGAGCUGGAGUUUGGACAGAGGGGCUGAAGCAGGUCCUUAAGCUGCAAGAGUUGGCGACGGGUCUGUGUGGUGUGAGCCGUUGCUGUUCUGCGACAGAUAAAGCGCCAUCUCCAUCCACUUGCAUUCCAGCACUUUGCCACUGUAACGUCUUUAUUCCGCAUCAAGGCAUGGAUCUCCGGAAACUGUGUACUCAGAGGAGUAUCUCCAAUCCAGAUGUCGUGCCACAACCUGAUCUGUUUGCCUUCGCCAAGCUUGUAGGUUGCACCGCAUUUGAAGACGUCUCGGCAGCAUGGCACACUUCUCCACCAUUGCGAGUGAGGCACAAAUGUUCGUCCCUCGUGUACACCAAUAUGUUCCAAGGCAAGUUAGGAUCAUUGAAGAAUCUCCACCACCAUUUUGUUAGGAGUGUUAUAUUCAUUGAUACCAAAUCCAAUAUUCCUAGCCCUCCAUCUUUCUUGCUUCUACAUACCGAUUUCCAGCUUACCAAGCAAGCUCCCCCGGUAAUUUUGGUGUCGCCUUUCCAGAAGAAGGCCCUUCGUAAAGCCUCGAUGCGCUGCAAAAUCCACUUAGGUGCUUUAAAAAUUGAGAAGAAGAAGAGUGGUAGGUUAGUGAGGACGGAAUUGACGGGGGUGAGUCUGCCUCCUCGCGAAAGGAGCUUUGCUUUCCAUCCUUCAAUUCUUGAAUUGAUGCGGUUGAUGACCAAGGACCAAUCCUCCUUCCUUAAUUGCUUGUUGUGGAGUGGGAAGCCCAGGUAGCGAAAGGGGAGAUUACCUACUUUACAUCCUAAUAUAAGGGCAAGUCUAGAAGCUUUGCGAGGAUUGUCACCCAAGAAGUAUAGUUCAGACUUGUCUUUAUUGAUCCUCAGUCCAGAGGCCCAUUCGAAUAGUUUCCAAACAAAGCGGAGAUUUCAUAAGAUGCUUUUUCUAGGCUCACAGAAGAAAAUUGUGUCGUCUGCGUCUUGUAGAAUGAUAGUUUUGCAAUCUUCAGAAGGUCCGAUUCCGCGUAGGAGCGAGUUCCUCCUAGCGACUUCAGUUAUUCUAGCGAGACAAUCUGCCACCAGGAGGAAGAGAUAGGGAGACAGGGGGUCCCCUUGUCUAAGGCCCUUUUUCAAUUUUAUCCAUUUUGUUGGUGUCUCGUUCACUAAGAUGGCCACUUUGGCGUUACAAAUACACUUUGCAAUCCAGGUCCACCGUUGGUCGUUAAAGCCAAGCCACGUUAUUAAACUCUUCAAAAACGUUUGCUCUUCAGAAUGUGUUCUAAAAUGCUGAUGAGUUAGCUUUUUACAUAUUAUGUGUGUACACACCUUCCCAUUUGUGUAUCUUUAUAAUUAUGUGCAAAAAUCUCAUGAACAAUAUUAUGGCCAGGUCCUAAGCCAUACAUCGAAUUAUUCUUAUACUUCUUUUGUUAGCUAGAAUGAUGCAUAUAUAUAUAUAUAUAUAUAUAUAUAGAGAGAGAGAGAGAGAGAGAGAGAGAGAGAGUCCGGCUGGGGUACUAUCGAUAGCACCAAGGAUUUGGUGCUAUCGAAUUUUCUACUGUUAGAUUUAACCCUCUGAUUAUUUUUACCCAUUAGAUUAUACUAUUCAACCAACUACUCACUUAACCCUAGGGGGCCCACAUCUAACCAUCCAUUUCUCAAUCUAAGGGCUAAAAAAUCAAUAGCACCAAUAGCUUGGUACUAUUAAUAGUAUUCCAGCCUAGUUAUAUAUAUAUAUAUAUAUUAUAUAUUAUAUAAGAGUAUAGAGAGAGGAAGAGAGAGAGAGAGUAGAGAGAGGUUAGGCUGGUAUACUAUCGUAGCACGAAGCCUCCGUGCUAUCAAGUUGUUUUCUAUGAUGCGGCUUCAAAUCGACAUCGGCUCAUUAGACAUGAUCUACACUAUUAAAAAUAUUUGAAAACUAAAUUUCAUAAUUUUUCGACAUCAUUUGGCUAGUGAUCGAAAGAUUCAAAAUUGACAAUUUUAAUGGUAGAUGUGAUGUAUUUGUAAAUUUAACGGUGUAAAACAACCAAAUCAGAUAAAAUUUUAUAGAAAAUUCUUUUUACUAUUUAAGUAAGAUCAGUCCCUCUAUCUUAAUUCAAGUUUCUAUCAUCAUUUUUUAUAAUUUUUAUUUUCAGCCGUUCAUUUUUAGACUACUCGUUUAAUAGGAAAUGAUACGAAAAAUUAUAAAAUUUAGUUUCCAAAUACUUUCAAUAGUGUAGAUCAUGUCUAAUGGAGCCGAUCGUCGAUUUGAGCCGCAUCAUAGAAAACAACUUGGUAGCACGGAGGCCUUCGUGCUACCGAUGUAUACCAGCCUAGGCUCUCUCUCUCUCUUCUCUUCUCUCUCUUCUCUCUCUCUCUCUCUUCUCUCUAUAUAUUAUAUAUAUAUAUAUAUAUAAAUAUAAAUAUAUAUAUAUAGAGAGAGAGAGAGAGAGAGAGAAAGAGAGAGUUGGGCUAGAAUACUUCCAAAAGCACCAAAGAGGUGGUGCUUUUGAGUUUUUAGCCUUUGGAUGAAGAAAUGUAGGCUUAGGAUGAUGGUGGUAGGUGGUGGUAGGUGGUGAUAGUUGGAAUAGUGUUUGAUCCAAAGGCUAUUAAUAAUCAAGGAGUAGAUCCAAGGGCUAAAAAUUUAGAAGCACCAAGGUGGUGCUUCUAAAAGUAUUCUACCUCAAUUAUAUAUGAGUUGAGCUAGAAUACUUCCAAAAGCACCAAAGAGAUAGUGCUUUUGAGUUUUUAGCCUUUGGAUGAAGAAAUGUAGGAUUGGGAUGAUGGUGGUAGGUGGCGGUAGGUGGUACUAUCAAUAGCACCAAGGAUUAAUUUGGUGCUAUCGAGUUUUCCACCGUUAGAUUUAACUCUUUGAUUAUUUUUGCCUGUUAGAUUAUACUAUUCAACCAACCACUCACUCAAGCCUAAGGGGCUCACAUCAUCCUAAACACCCAUUUCUUAAUCCAAAGGCUAAAAAAUCAAUAGCACCAAACUAUUGGGGCUAUUGAUAGUAUUCCAGCCUAUAGAUAUAUAUAUAUAUAUAUAUAUAGAAUUAGGCUGGAAUACUAUUAAUAGUAAAAUGCUUUUUUUGCUAUCAAGUUUUUAACCCUUGGAUGAAAAAUUGUAAGGUUAGGAUGAUAUUAGUCAGUUAGAGUUGAGUGGUCCCCCUAGGGUUGAGUGGUCCUCACUGGGUUAUAGUAUUUAAUCCAAUGGUUAGAAAUGAUGAAAAGAGUUGAUCCAAUGGCUAAAAAACUGGUAGCAAUAAUGGAAUUUUACUACUAAUAGUAGCCCAGUCAAUUAUUAGUUAUAUAUUAAGUUAAUAUAUUGUAUAAUAUUAUAUAUAUAUAGAGAGAGGAGAGAUGAGAGAGAAGUACUGUUUUUGUUACUGUUUGCGUUGAGAGAGGUACCGUUAGGGCGCGGAAUACUAUGCAAUAGCACUGAUGUUUUGCUGUUGUUCCUGUAGUGUUUUUUAGCCCUUUGCAUGAUGAGAAAUGUGGUUUACGAUUAGGAAUGAUGUGGGCCCUUAGGGAAAAUUAAGAAGUGUUGGUUGUAUUUGAUUUGGAUAGUAAAAUCUAACGGUUAAAAAUAUAUCACAAAAUAGUUAAAUUUUUAACGGUUGUGGAUAAACUGAAAUAGCCCUAAGUUCUUGAUGCGUUAUCAAUAUAUAAUUAUAUGUAGUUAUAUUAUAUAUUAUUUUUAUUAUAUGCGUAUUGGUAUUAUGAUGUAUAGAUAUAGUGUUUAGUAAAUAUACAUUAUUAUUAUAUGUAUAUAUACAUAGAUCGUUAUAUUAAUAAUUUAUAUAGUGUAUAAUGUAUAUAUAUUAUGUAUGUUUAGUUCACUUAUUUAGUAGAUGUAUGUUUUAUACAUAAUAUUAUUAGUAUAUAUUAUUAUAUGUAUAGUAUAUAUAUUAUAUAUAUAUAGUAUUUUCUUUCUUUAUAUAUUUAUAUGUAUGUCAUCAUAAGUAUAUGAUAUAGUAUAUUAGUAUAUAUUAUAUUAUAUAUUAUGAUAGUGAUGUUGCUUAUACAUACAGUAUACUUUUUAUAUAUAUACAUUACAUAUAUAUAUAUAUUACUAGCAUAUAUUAUAUAAUAGCAUAUAAUAUAUAUGCUAUACUAGUUAUCUAGUUUAUAUGUAUUUAUAUUAUGUUUUCGCAUUAUUUACGUGCUAAUGUACUCUUUUUUAUGUAAAAUACUAUAUAUGAUUCUUUAUGUUUUUUGUACACUGUAUAUGUUAUGUAUGAUAUUUAUGUCUAUUUAUUUUUCAUUUAUAUUAUACGUAUAUAUAUUUUUUAUAUGUAUGUAUAUGUAGAUGUAUAUUAUGUAUAUAUAUAUUAUAGCUAUAGUUUGUAUAUGUAAUUUGUGAUUUCUUUUAGUAUAUAUAUUAUGUAUAUAGUGUUUUUGUUUAGUUAUAUUGUAUAUAUAUUAAUUUAUAGUUAUAAUACAUUAUUAUAUAUACUAUAUAGAGCUAGCGCUGGCUCUUACUAUCGUAGCACGGAUGGCCUUCCGUGGACUAACCAAGUUGUUUUCAAUUUUGCGGCUUCUAAAUCGGCGGCAUCGGCUUCAUUAGCACGUGUGAUAUAUAUUAAACAAGUAUCUUGAAGUGUGAUUCAUAAUUUUUCGCAUUACGAUUAUACUAUCAAACAAUAGUCUAAAAUAUGAUUGACGGUUUUGAAAAUGAAAACUGGCAUGAAAAACAAGUAUAUAAAGAAUUCAAAAUUUCAAACUCGGAAGUAUUGGUUCUUGCUAUUGAUGUAAGCUAAGAAUUUUCUAAUUAAUUUUCAUCUAAUUGUAUUUUAUUAUCACGCUAGGAACUAGUAAAAACGCUAUUCAUAGUCUACGUAUUAAAAUUGCUUAAUUGGAACCUGUUUGAUCACUAGUAUAAUGAAUGUGUGAAAAAUUAGAAUAAUUUAGUUUCCAACAUACUUUAUAGCUGGAGGAUCUAUAAGUCUAUUUGGAGACACUGUAUCGUCGAUUUUGUCAGAGCGGACAUCAUUGAAAACACUUGUAGUCGGCGCCUGCGUGGCUAGCGAUAGCGAAUAUACCAGCUUUUGCUGGCUCUAUAUAUAGUACAUAUAUAUAGUAUACAUAUAUAUAUUAGUAUAGAUGAUAUACCUUAUACUUUUAAAAGGCUUAUCAAGUAUUGUACUGUAUAUUUUUUGAACCAUUGGAUUAAUAGAAUUUGUGCGCGUUAUGAUUGAUUAGCGAGGCUCCUAAGGUUAGUGGUGGGUUGAUGAUUAUGUUUAACGGUUGAAAAUAAUCAAGGCUGUAUGAUCUAACGGUAAAAAUUUACAAAUGACCAAGUACUUGUUGUUUCAAGCACCAUAGACGUGAUAUAUAUUAUAUAUAUAUAGUAUAUGAUCUAGAUUAGUUAUUAGAUUUUUUUGUUGGACGGGAUUGCGAGAGGUUAGAGAAUUCGGCUAGAUGAGCAGGAACGUUAGUGCUGGUUAUCUUCUCAAAUGACGCAAGCUAUUUUGGUGUAUUAAUUUUUAGCCCUUGGAUUGACAAAAUAUGCUUGGUUGUAGGGAUGAUGAUAGGCCCUAGCGAUUAACGUGGGUGCAGCUUGGUUGAAUAUUGUAAUAUAACGUGUCUGCGUAAAAGAUAAUCAGAAAUCGGUUCAAUACCUCCUCGACACUAAAAAGUCAUUCUGGUGAUCACACCAAGCCCUUGAUACUGAUCUGACUAGUUAUCACUAGUUUCAGGUUACUUAUAUAUUAGUUGAGUCUAGCUAGAAUACUGGUUGUACAAAAGCACCAGACGUGUAUAGUGCUUUUAUGAAUUUUUAAUGCCUUGUUGGUAUAUGAUGUAGACCGAAUUGAUGUCUUUAUAGGUUGGGAUUGCGAUUUGUGGUAUGCGUAUCAUGGUGUGUGGCUAAAGUUGUGCGAUAGGUUGGAAUGUUGAGUGUUUAUGCCAGUAGUCAUUACUAAUUUAGAGAUGUAGAUCCAAUGAGCUCUAAAAAGACUUUAGAAGCACUCAAGGGGUCGGGUACUUCUAAAUUAUUCUAGCUCAUGUUUAAUAUAUAUUAUACUUAUAGCAUAUUUUUAUUAAAUAUAUAUAUAUAUAUAUAUAUAUAUAAAUAAUUAGGCUGGAAUACUAUUAAUAGUAAAACGCUCUUUUUGCUAUCAAGUUUUUAACUCUUGGAUGAAAAAUUGUAGGAUCGGGAUGAUAUUAGUCGGUUAGGGUUGAGUGGUCCCCACUGGGUUAUAGUAUUUAAUCCAAUGGUUAAAAAUAAUGAAAAGAAUUAAUCGAAAGGCUAAAAAACUGGUAGCAACAAUGGAAUUUUGCUACUAAUAGUAGCCCAGUCCAACUAUAUAUAUAUAUAUAUAGUUGAGCUGGAAUGCUAUACGUAGCAAACAGGCUCCUUUCGCACCCAUUUAUUUUCAAUGAUGAAGCUUCCAAAUCGACGAUCGGCACCGUUAAAUAUGAUCUGUACCACUUGAAGUAUCUAGAGACCAAAUUUUAAAUCUUUUCGACAUCAUUGACCUAAUGAUCAAAGGGUUUCAAAAUUUAUAAUUUCAAUAGUCGAUAUGAGACGUUUUCUCGUUUAACAGUGUAAAGAUAUCUAAAUCAAUUGAAAUUUUGUUAGAAAAUUCUUUAAGCUAUUUAGAACAAGAUCUAUACUCUUGAUCUUGAUUGCAUGAUUCCUAUUAUCACUUUUAAAAGAUAUUCUGUUGAUUUUUGUGCCCACUUGAUGGACAACAGAAUAAUACCGAAAACACAUGAAAUUUGGUUUCUAGAUACUUCAAGUGGUAUAGAUCAUGUUCAAUGGUGCUGAUUGUCGAUUUGGAAGCUUCAUCAUUGAAAACAAAUGGAUGGCAACGAAACCCGUUUGCUAUCGAUAGCAUUCCAGCUCAACUUUGUAUAUAUAUAAAAUCAUUGAUAUAUUAAAAUAUAUGAUGUUAAGAAUUCUAAUUAAAUCUGAUAUGUAGAUCAAGAUAUUAUACAUUAAAAACUUUGCCAACGCAAUAAACUUUGUUUGGAUCUCAAAGCAUUAAUUUUCUUACUGUUAAAAACAAAGAAAAAAAUUGGAAUUAGAAGAACGACUAACUGUACUAAAAUUUUUCAAAAUUUCCUGCUGAAUCAAAUCAAAAACUCAACAUUCAAGCUUCUUGUUUUUAAUUUCAUUUCACAUAUAAAGGCCCAUAAUUAAAUUAGUAAUUAAAUAUCAUUUGAGCAACUUGUAGAAUGCAGCGGAAGUAUUCGUUCGUAUCCUUUGCAAAAGCGACUUGCAUUAGAACACGACGAGCCCGAAUCGUAGAGGUUGAUUCACGUGUUCUCGAAUCGUCCACAAAGGUUUUCUGUCGCUCUAAACUCGCGGUAGAUCGAACUACAAAUGAGCACAAUCUCCCAUUUACCGUUCAAGACCCUCUAGAAUAAUAAGUUAAUAGAGGAUGUGGUUUCUAUCUUUCUCUAUUGGUUUUCUUGUUGUCUUUCAUAUGAGAUAUUGCCCGUAUAUUUAUAAGGGAUUUCAAAAUCCUAAUAAAGUUCGUAAGAGAUGAGGUCAAAUCGGAUUAUAAUUGUUAUCCUAAUAUAACUAGAAUUUAUCUCUAAAUAGCUUUUUAAUUUAAUAGGGAUAUUAAUUCUAGUCUAAUUAGACAACAUAAUUACCGUCAGAUCGAGUCCGAUCAUGGGUGCACCGAUUCGAUUUAACCGAAUGACAACACAACUCAUCUAGGAAUUUCCCCAAGAGAGAGCAUUUCUUUGAUCCGAUUACACUGCCACAACCUUUCCUGUCCCACUUUGUGAUAAAGCAAAAGCAAAAUAAAAAGGAAGAGCAAAGAGGAAAGUGGGGGAAAAAAUAUAUAUAUAUUUCUUUAGGAAAAGAGGAGUAGAAAGAAAGGUUUACAAAGCAAUACUAACUAUACCCAUCCCUUUAAUUUGAGACCUCAAAAAGCUUCAUCACCAAGGAAGUGAAGCUAAGCUAAGCAACACAUAUUAUUGAUUCAAGAGGAGAUAGAAAUAAUAAAGAAGAGUUAUCAGUUAUUAGUAGAGUAAUCUUUAAGGCAUAAGGAAUGAAUAGAGCCAUGUUUGAGAGCUCUCUUGUGCAGCAAAUGAUGGUAGGGGGGAACCCUAGUUGGUGGAACAACAUGGAUAACAUAAAGCCACCACAUCAAGAGAUCUCUCCACUUCUGCCUUGCUCAACCUCUUCGGCGGGGGCGGUCGCAUCGUCGACAUCGUCAUCGUCGUCGUCGUCAUCUUCAUCUUCUUCUUCUUUGAACUCUUUCCCUAUGUAUCCUCAGUACACUCAGUCAUCUAGGUUUCUUCCCUUCACCUCUUGGCAGGAUAAUCAAGGUCUACCAGACCCAUGGAACCAGAUGCUGCUGUAAUAUAUGAUCUCUCUCUCUCUCUCUCUCUCUCUCUCUCUCUCUCUCUCUCUCUCUCUCUCUCUAUCAAAAUCAAGGAGGAUUUUGAUGUGGAACUAACAACUCACUGUAUUGAGUUCUUUUCAUUCAACAAACACAGUAUCAUAAAUUGCUUUUUAUAUAUGUUUUCUUACAAAACUCCAAUCAACUAUAUAUAUCUGUUAAACUUUUUGAAAAAAAAAAAAAAUUCGACGUAAUAUAUCUAUUGUUCUUGGCCUCAUGAAACAUCCCACCAUGCAAUUCUCAUGCAUGUCUAUCUUUUUUCCUUGGAGUUUUUUCUUUUUCUUUUUCUUCCAACUAAAAUUAUGAUUAUAAUAAUGGCUACCACUUAGCCUUUACAAGAAGAACAAUAUACAUAUAUACAUGUGUUGGGCAUGUUGCAGGGGAGGAGUGAUGGAAGAAGAGGAGAGAUGCGGCUUUGGUCUGCAAACAAAGAAAGUAGAGAAUUGGGAGGAUCAUCAACUGUAUCCAUCAGGAAACAGCCAUGUAUUUGGUGCAAAGCAAGAGAACUUGGAAAGAUCAGCAUACCUAUGUAAGAAGUAUGAAAAUGAUCAACAAGUUCUCAAAACUACUUCUCCUUGGGCCCAAUCCCUACCAGCUUCUUCUACAAAGUCUUGUGUCACCACAAACAGUUUGAGCACCAACAUGCUGGACUUCUCCCACAGCAAAGAAGGGAAAAGGCACCUUCAAUCAGAACAAUCAUCUGAGGUUAAUUAGCCAUAGCUUUUGUUUGUUCUUGUUUGAUUCCUACAAGUGCAUCAACUUACUUAUUCUUAUUACUUCUCCAUGAAAGCUAUAAAGUUUUCAAUUCAUAGAGGCUUAAAUAUGAAGAUCAUAGAUGUUAAUUAUGAAAUUCUUUAUUUACUGAAUGAUUUCCACAUGUUUUUAAUUUCUUCUGGCAGUCCAACAGCACAGGGACUGGAUCACCUUUCAAGAAGGCCAGAGUUCAAGCAUCAUCAGCCCAAUCUCCCUUGAUCAAGGUUUUAUUCAAUUUGUUAAAUUUUUUUUUUAGUUUUUUAACAUUUAAGAAGAUGCUUUCAUGCCCACAACUUAGAAUGAUAAUUGAUUAAUUAGUAACUGAGAUAAUGACCAUGAAAAAUAAUAAUAAUGAUGAGGGUAUUAAUUAUUAUUAUUCUUUCAGGUGAGGAAAGAGAAGCUGGGAGAUAGAAUAUCAGCUCUUCACCAGCUAGUCUCUCCAUUUGGAAAGGUAUAUAUUGCUGCUGCUCCAUGCAUGCAACAACUGUAGAUCUAAUGCAGUAGUACUAGAAAACUUCAUAAUUAGCUUACAGUUAAUUCUCCCCCACUGUUCUAAUCUUAAUUUGUUUCCUGUGCUUUUUUGACCUCAAUCUUUGUUCCCUACUCUCCCUAAAAGUGUUUCAAUUUAUCCUUAUCUUUAUUUAUGGUUAAAAAACAAAAAUAAUUAUCAGCGAGCAACCGGUGCAUAUCUAUACAUCCAAGCACUAAGUUUUCGAUUCAGAGCCGUACCUACACCAUAUAAAUUUUUUUUUUUUUUUCUCUAACAAAAUGACUAAAUAAAACAAAUCUAAUAGCUCGGGAUAGGAAAUAAAUGUUAAACUCAUAGUUGAGCUCCAAUGAACUUUUAAAAGCACAGGAGCAUCUGUGCUGGUGGAAUUUUACCUGUUGAAUCGUCUUAACGUGACCUACCGUUAAUAGUGUUGGACGAAUUUUGAGACAAUUCGGCAGCUAAAAACUCACAAGCUCUUUAAUGUUAAUGUUGGGGGAUCAAAAUAAAUUAUCCGAAUAAAGUUAGUCUGACAAAAGCGCCUUUAAUUUGCAGACUGACACUGCUUCUGUCCUGCUAGAAGCCAUUGGCUACAUCAGAUUCCUCCAGGGUCAAAUUGAGGUCUCUCUCUCUCUUUCUCUCUCUCUCUCUCUCUCUCUCAUACCUGGACUGAAGCAGAUCAUUUUGGGAGUGCUUCAGCGCACGCAGUAAAAGUUGCUGCACUCCCCAAAGUGUUGUUUUUGUGCAUCACAUCUUCUUGUUUUUUAGUUGUCCUUGUGUUGUCAUGUGUUUCAGGGAUUAUAUAUAUAUAUAUAUAUAUAUAUAACCAACUCCUCACUUCCCCAGUACACUCCUUAACCUUUUCUUUUUUCUUUUUUUUUUUUACUUUUUUAAUGUAGGCCCUCAGCUUGCCCUACCUGGAUAGUGGGUCAAGGAACCCCAGGCAUUGUGUAAGUAAACUAUAUAUAUAUAUAUAUAUAUAAACACCAUCCACUUCACUGUUCCUACCAUACAUAGAUAUAUAUGUGUGGCAUCUAUCUCUCUCUCUCUAGUGGUUAAUUGCACCAUUGUUACCUUUACCUACACAAUUGUUCACUUAUUAAAUACUUAAUCUCAUAAUUUUUUAAUUGAAUCUCUUAUGUUUUUCAACUGUUUGAGUCAAGUUAAUUAAUUAAUUUCUUCUAUUGAACAUUUAUUUAUCGGAACGAAAGUUAAUUAUCGCAAGAAACAACACAUUUAUAUCAUGACAAAUUCUUAUCAAAAAUAAAGAAUUUACCAAUGGAAGGGAAGAGACUCGAUUGAAAUAAUUAAUAAAUAAUUAAAAGGUUAGGAACCAAUGAAAAAGUACUGAAAAAAGAAAAGGUUAGGGACCAAUGGUAUUAUUUAAGUAUUAACCCUUGUUCUAAUGGUUUUUUGGUAUCUUAGAGCAAGAUUUAUUGACUCCUAAAUUUGGUAUCUUAGCAGCAAGUUAUAUAUAUUAUAUAUAUAUAUAGAGAGUAAAGCUACUGUACUCUUAUGAGUAUUGGGUCCUUCGUAUUCAUAAGUUGUUUUCGAUGAUGGGCUUCGAAUCGACGAUCCACUCAUUAAAUAUGAUCUAGAGCAUUUGAAAUUUCUAAAAAAUAAAUUUCGUGAUUUUCGAAAUCAUAAUAAAGUCCAUCAAACUGGCAUAAAAAUGAACGGUCAAAAUCGAACGACGUCCUAAAAAUGGUAUUAUCGGAUCCUUCAAUUUAAGAUCGGAGUUAUUGAUCUUUAUCUAGGUAGUGAAUAGAAUUUUCUAUCAAAAAUUCAACCUAUUCCGAUUCUUUUACACCGUUAAACUAGCAAGUAUCCCAUACCGGCCCGUUAAAAAUUGUUAAUUUUGUGAACUUUGAUCGUAAGGCAAAUGAUGUCGAAAAAUUAUAAAAUUGAUUUCUAGAAGUUUUAAAUGCUCUAGAUAAUGUUUAACGCGUAUGGAUCGUCAAUUCGGAAGCUCUAUCAUCAAAAAAACUUAUGAGUACGAGGGCGAUCGUACUCAUAAUUAAAAGUAUAGUAGCCGGGCUAUAUAUUAUAUAUAGAGUUGGACUGGGUUACUAUUAGUAGCAAAAUUUCAUUUGUUGCUACCAGUUAUUUAGCCUUUGGAUCAACUCUUUUCAUCAUUUCUAACCAUUGGAUUAAAUAGUAUAACCCAGUGGGGACCACUCAACCCUAGGGGACCACUCAACUGUAACUGACUAAUAUCAUCCUAACCCUAUUUAUUUCAUCUAGGGGUUAAAAAACUUGAUAGCGAAAAGAGGUUUUACUAUUAAUAGUAUUCCAGUCUAAUUCUAUAUAUAUAUUAUAUAUUAUUAUAUUAUAUAUAUAUGGAGUCCGAACGUACGGUGCUUGUAAAAGUAUCAAAUAUUUGGUGUUUGUAAAUUUUUUACCGUUUAGAUCUACGCCUUUGAUCAUUUUCAUCCGUUAGAUUAUACUAUUCAACCAACCACCCACUUUAACCCUAGGGGGCCCACAUCAUCUUAACCACACAUUCUUUAAUCCAAGGGCUAAAAACCUACAAGCACCAAUGACUUGGUACUUUUAAAAGCAUAGGAGCCUCAAAUUUUAUUUAUAUAAUAUAUAUAAUAUAUAUAUAUAUAUAUAUGUAUGACUACUAUGCUAUUAGGAGCACAGUAGCCCUUAUGCUCCUAAGUUUUUAACUUUCUAACCAUUCAUCAAUUUUGAUGGGUGAUUAGGGUGAGAGAGAGAAGAGAAAUUGGAAACAAAUUCAAAGAGAAGAGAAAUUGAGAUACCUAAUUUUUCCUCAAUUUCUCUUCUCUCUCACAUCCUAACUACCUAUCAAAGUUGAUAAAUAGUUAGAAGCUUAAGAGCACAAGGGCUACUGUGCUCCUAAUAGCACAGUAGCCCUAUUCUCUCUCUCUCUCUCUCUCUCUCUCUCUCUCUCUCUCUAUAGAGAGAGAGAGAAACUACUGCACUAUCUAUAGUAUCGAAGCUUCAAUACUAUAGUGUCAUUUUGUAUCUUAGGUUGCUCAAAUCAACAAUCCACACCAUUAAAUAUGAUUUAGAAUAAAUAAAGUAUCAAUGACUUGGUGCUCCAAGUUACGCGCGCACACGCGCACACACACACACACAUAUAUAUAUAUAGAGAGAGAGAGAGAGUGUCCGCUAUGGUGCUUUUGAAAACACCAAGUACUUGGUGCUCACAAGUAUUCCAUCAUUAGAUCUAUCAGUUUGACCAAUUUCAUCCUUUAGAUCAUGCUAUUUCAUCAACCACUCACUCAAUCCUAGGGCACUACCAUUAUCCUAACCCUACAAAUCUUAUCCAAAGGCCAAAAAUCCAAAAGCACCAAUGCUUUAAAAAAUAUAAGAGCUCAAUUUUAUAUAAAUGGAACUAGGUUAUUAUAUUAUUAAUAGCACUAAGUCAUUAAUGCUGUUAGGUUUUUGCUAUUGGAUUAAGAUAUAUGUAGCUAGGAUGAUAGUAGUCCCCUAGGCUGCGUUUGGUUACAGGAUAUAAUAGGAAUAAUACAUUUUAUUCCUGCAAUUCUGCCAAACAUAAGUAAAAUUGGAAGAGAUAUUUAAUUCCGGUCAAAGCGGGUUAUUCUUGACAAUUCUAGAAUAACCCGUUAACAACUAUUCCUCUCCAACAGUGGAAUAGCUGCGUCCUUCAAUUUAUACCAAAGGCAGUAAGUGAAAAAGUUGCCUCGUUAUUUGAGCCCACCUACCCUACUCUAUACUCCUUAGCCAAAUGCCUCUUUUAGUUAAAACUUUUUACAAUAUUUUAUAUUAUUGUGUAUACUAUUUUUGAUUAAUUAUAUCUAAGGUAAAAAUAUUUUAUAAUUAAUUAUUAAAAUAUUUUAUAAAUAAUAUGAAUAUUAAAAUAUUAAAUAUAAUUUUCUUUCAGUAAAAUAUUAUAUUGCAUAUAUUAUGUUUUAUUUGAAAUGUUGUUCAUUUUAUUAAAUAUUACAUAUAAAAGAGGCACACACAAGGACAAUAUUGGCAUUUUAGAAAAAUUCAAUCUACUUUUACUAUUAUUCUCUAUUAUUCCUAAGCAAUUUUCCAAACAUAAAUUUUCUUAUUCUUCUGAAAAAGAGAAUUUCAUACCAAAUAUAAAAUUCAUUUUAUUCUUUUGUAUCCUAGAAUACACCCUAAAUCCAAGAAUAAAAAUAUUUAUACUUCUAAACAUUAUUCCAUUAACAAACACAACCUUAGGGUUGAGUGGGUAAUUGGUUGACUAGUAUGAUUUAUUGGUGGAAAUAGUCAAAGGGAUAAAUCUACCAGUGGAAAACUUGGUAGUAUACCAAGUGCUUGGUGCUAUUAAUAGCAUAGCAGCCGGACUAGUCCAACUACUAUACUCUUAUAAGUAUGAUCGUUUAGUACUCAUAAGCCGUUUUUAAUGAUAGAAUUUUCGUAUCGACGAUCCAUAUUGUUAAACAAAAUUUAGAGCAUUUGAAACUUCUAGAAAUUAAAUUUUAUAAUUUUUCAACGUCAUUUACCUUAUGAUUAAAAAAAAUCUCAAAAUUUAUAAUUUUAACGGUCGAUAUGAGAUACUUACUAGUUUAACCAUGUAAAAGAAAUGGAGUUGUUUGAAUUUUCGGUGAAAAUUCUAUUCACUAUCUACAUCAAUAAUUCCAAUCUCAAAUUAAAAAACUUUGAUCCUCUAUUUUUUUGGAGGUCUUUCAAUUAUAAGCAUUCAUUUUACGCCAGCUUGAUGUAUUUUAUUAUAAUUUUAAAAAAAUUACGAAAUUCAUUUUUCAUAUGUUCAAAUGCUCUAGAUCAUAUUUAAUAAUAUGAAUCGUCGACUUAGAAGCUCCGUCAUUAAAAACAACUUAUGAGUACGAAGAAAGAGAGAGAAAGAGAAAGCAAAGAGUUACACUAGUAUGCUUUCAAAAACACGAAGGACUCCGUACUGUCAAAUUUAUUUUCGAUGAUUGGACAUUCAAAUAUUAGAAUUAUCUGGAGAGCAAAUUUGAUUUAUAGAUAUUUCAGUAUAGAUCAUAUCUAAAGAAAUCGAUCGUCAAAUCAAAUGUGCUAUCAUCGAAAACUAAAGUGAAAGUAUGAAAGCCUUCAUACUUUCGAAAACAUACGAGCCUACUUAUGUAGAGAUAGAAUAUUAUGGUCUCAUGAGUAGAAAGGCCUCUGGAAAUUUUUUUUCGAUAAUGAGACAUCCGAUUUGAUGAUCGGCUCUAUUAAAUAUGAUUUACACUAUUGAAACUAUUUAGAAACUCAAUUUUAUAAUUUUUUUUUCUUAUUUGCCUAGUGAACAAAUGGUCUCAAAAUAAACGGUUGAAAAUAAAAAUCUCACAAAAAAUAGUCCCAGAUGACUUAAAUCGAAAGUAUUGAUCUUGCUCUUGAUGGAAAAAUAAUUGUUUAUUAAAAUUCACCUAAUUUGAAUUUUUGUAUACCUUUGAACUUACAAACAUACCACAUUGGCUACUAAAAUAGUAAUUUUUGAGAUUCUAAUCACUUGGCAAAUGAUGUUGAAAAAUUAUAAAAUUAAUUUCUAGAUAGUUCCAAUAGCGUAUAUCAUGUCUAAAAGAACUGAUCGUCAAAUUAGAUAUCCCAUCUUAGUCUUCCAAGAACAUGAUGUGUCCAAAAUUGUAGGAGAGAAGUGACUCGGUUGUUUUUUUCUUUUUUUAAGAUAAAAGCAUGCUAUCUUUUUCAUUUUUUAGGAAAAUGAAUUUAGCUAUACGAGUAAGACAACUAGAUCUCCAAAAUGGAAGAUCAAAAUACUAAUAAAAAAAUAUAACAAAAAAGAAAAGAAACUGAACAAGAACCCUAACGCAUCAUUACCUACAAUUAAUGACUAUUAUAUAUAUUUGAUUUGAUGCACAUGCUUUGUGUUUAACAUCAGGAUGCCGCUGCUUAUGAGGAACCAAAGAAGGAUUUGAGGAGUAGAGGACUAUGCCUGGUUCCUGUGUCAUUCACCCUUCAUGUUGGAGGAGACAAUGGAGCUGAUUACUGGGCUCCGGCUUUCGGCGAGGAAUUCCGAUGAGAAGCUCGAUCGAACGCGCGCGCACCGAUCGACCAAUCAACUCGCGCCUGAUCAGUUUCGAUGCAUGCAUGGCGGAGAAAACAUGAACAAUUGUUCAAGGUGAGAUAGAUUGGUAAAUGUAGGACAUCAAACUGUAACAUAAACAGCAAAAUUAGGUGGUAGGUACAUAAUUAAACUAAUUAAUAAUUUGGUGAGGGGCUCCUUUGCUCUCUUGUAACUUGAAUUUUAUUGAAUGUAUUGUAGUGGUAUUGUAGUGGUAUUGUAGUAUGUUAGAUAAAUAUCAUGAAGAUUUAUGUAUGGUUGACGAUUUUAUACAUAUAUAUAAAAUCAAUAGCACCAAGAGCUUGGUGCUGUUAGUUUUUUAACCCUUGGAUUGAGAAAUGUGUGGUUAGAUGAUAUGGGCCCCCUAAGGUUGGGUAGGUGGUUGAUUGAAUAGUAUAAUCUAACGGGUAAAAAUAAUCAAAGAUUAAAUCUAACAGUGAAAAACUCGAUAGCACCAAACCCUUAGUGCUAUCGAUAGUAUCCCAGUCACUCUAUAUAUAUAUAUAUAUCUUCAUUAGUCAAGAAAUGUAUAUUUUUGUCCAAGAUGAGACAUUUUUCAGGAAUUAAACAUAUGUAGUAUGGUGAUUUUCCACACAAUUUCAAGAAAAAAAAAAAAAGAAAAAGGGUUCCUGAUUUUCCAUCUUUAAAUAUAAAUUCAUCGGCAUUAAAUUUUCAUUUCAUGAAAAACUAUAUUCAAAUUUUAUAGAGAAAUUUAAGAAUAUUACAUAACUAUUUAAUCAUAUCAGAUAACCACAAAGUCUACAACUGUAAUAGUUAACAAAAAACAUUUGUUAAAGUGUAACAAUAUAGAACAAUUCUCAUUCGCUACCAUUUUUGCUAUAAAAAAGUUGAGCUUUUUAAGUACCAACUUGUAAUACUUUUACGUUGCUUUUGAUGAUACAGCAUUUGAAUCGGUGAUCAAUAUUGUUAAAUAUGAUUUAUGAAUCGGUGAUUAAUAUUGUUAAAUAUGAUAUAGACACGUGAAAUUCCUAGCAACCAAAUUUCAUUAUCUUUCAACAUUUUUAACUUACCAUUCUAAGUGAUCUCAAAAUUAAUAAUUUUCAACAGCAUCAAUACAGUGCAUUUGAGACGACUUAGAUCAUUAGUUAAAUAAUGUUAGAAAUCAUGAAAUUUGGCACCUAAGAAGUUUCGUAAAUCAUAUUCAACAAAAUCAAUCAUCGAUACGUAUGCCCCAUCACUGAAAAUGAUGCAACAAUAUCAAGUCUACAUAUAAUUAUAUUAUUAUAUUGCCGAGCACGUGUGCUACUGGUAAAAUAUAAUUUAAAUAAGUUCAAGAUUUUGUUUAAAAAAUUUCCAAAAUUUCUAGAUCAAAUAGGAAAAAUCAUUGCCUACACCUAAUGCAAUCAUACAUCUACUUACGAGGAAUCAAUUGACAUUCCAUCCAAGGAUCAAAAUGAUCAAAAUGAGAUAGAUGCAUAGUGAAGGUUAAAACACUAGUGAUGCAACUUCAUAGCCAUACAAACUCUAUCAAAGUUGCUUUAUAAGCAGAUUAUUAAGAGAUCCUCAUGAGCACAUUGGCAAGUCCCAGAUCACCUGCCUUUGACAAGGCACAAGGAGAAACAAAACACUGCAAGCACCUCAGAAUCACCAGGAGUCUUCAGGACAGAGAGAUUUAUAACUUACAGCCAAAAGCACUAGAAGCACUAGAAACACUAGUGAAAGCUUUCUUACAGUGCCUUGAGAAUCUCAUCCGCCCCCGAUAUGGUGAACUGGCCGCCCUCCUCGAUGUUUGCGACCUUCACCUUGAGGUCGUCGACGAGAAGCGCGAACCUCCGGGAACGAGUCCCGAGUCCCUUCUCAGAAAGAUCGAGCUCGAGGCCCAGCGCGCGGGUGUACGCCCCCGAUCCAUCAGCGAGGAACUUCACGUGUUUGUUCUCGGGGUAAGUCUUAGCCCAGGCCUUCAUUACAAAGGGGUCGUUGACUGCAAACAUUUAUUAAUUAUAGAUAUCAAGUGCGAGCCAACUUAUGCGUUAAGAAAAAGGUACUUAUUGAUAGUUUUGCUGAUUUACUGAAUCCUUAAGAAAAGUUUUUGUUUUCUGAUGUAGAAGUGUGUUGGUAGCUAAAUGUAUGCAUUUACAGCUAACAAAGAAAAAAGUAAUUGAACUAUACCGCUGAUGAGAAGGAUUUCAUCAACACCCUUGGAUUUAAGUUCCUCGGCAUUCUGGAUGAAGCCAGGCACAUGCUGCAUGCUGCAUUCCAGAUUACAAUCAACCAAUUUUACGAUUGAAUUUGAAGAAGAAAUCAGAAAGAGCCAAAGUGAAAAAGUAGAAAAGAUGCAGGUGGUUAUGUCUGAAUCAAAUUAUAUGACACAAACAAACUCAUUUUGAAUCUCGUCAUGGGAUAAAAAAAAACUAAAAUUGGGUGGGAAAAAACACAGAGAGAGAGAGAGAGAGAGAGAGAGAGAGAGAGAGACCACACUCAGCAAAGACAAAGUAUGGUUUAAAAUGGAAGUUCUAUAGGCAUCAAUGUUCCAAAAGACAAUAUGCAAUGUCCAUGCGGUUUGCCUACUGUAUAGCGUGUCUGCAGUACGCGGGCGCAUAUAUGAGUUUGUAUGGCAUGAGAUGAGAUAACUAGUUGAUGUAUGAUAGUUUCGUUUGGUGUUCCAAUGACCAAAUGGUAAUACGCUGUCAAACUUCUCAUCUAGUAUAUAGGCAUAGACAUGUCGAAUGCCCUGAAUCAUGAUAAACAAAGAGAUCAUCACUUCGAAUAAUUAUACACACCAUGUUGUUAUAUACCAAGAAACAUUAGAGACGUCAUAGUCCUUGGGCAGUUUGGAGUGUCGGAUCAUCUGAAAACUAUAUGAGUUUGUAUCUCUUUUAACUUAUAAAACAGGUUAGAGAAAAAGUAAUCUACUUUCAGCACGAUCACACUUCUCUUAACUGGAGAUGCAUUAGAGAUAUUCAAAUAAGAUGAUAAUAUGUUUCGUAGUGUACAAUCAUGAUCAAGAAUAACUUCUAAAUUUAAGAACAUAACGUCUAUGGAACUAUAAUAUCAUGAUCACAAAUAAUUUCUAGUUGAUGCACAUGCAAGUAACAUAACAAAAAUAAAUGUAAUUAUUGUUUAAACAGAAUGUGUAAGCACUGUUUGCACACUCAUUCCGCAUGAAAUUAAUCAAUGAUCAUACUCAAAUUUUCACUGAAAACACACAAAAUGGCCAACAACAAAAUGAAGAAAAUGCUUCCACCUCUAUCUUUCCAAGAUUCGAGGAGUGCAUCGAGUGUGAUGCGUAAACAACAAAAGCUCAAAGUUUUGUGCGAAGGGCAUAAACAGGACGGAACUGGUAUAGUUCAUAUUCAUUAUAUAUCUGAAAAUUAUAGGUUAUCAAUCCAAACUCGAUCUAGUGAAUACAACAUGUAUUAGAUUUUUAUAAUUUGAGGCUUGUUUUGAAUUUCUUGUUUCGAACUAAUGCUAAGAGCUCAUGAUUUUUUUUUAAAAGAAUUGAGCCCUCAUCACAUAUAACUCCAACUAAUAGAGUAAAAUUGAAAGAAAACCAUCUGCUUCAAUCUGAAUUAAUUCUAACAAUCAAAGAAAGAUUAAUUCUCACUUCAGAAGCCAUGCAAGUCAAUAAACUUAUUUGAAGCUAUUAUACUAGGCAUACAGGCAACACAGUCAAUUCCAAUUAAAUUCGUGUUCAAAUCAAGGAGUUGGCGGUUCUUACCUUGUAUUAAUACGGAUUUAGUGAAUCAUAAAUAAGUCGGUAACAAGAUAGUCUGUCAUUUGAAGAAAUGUUUACAAGUUGUUGUGUUUGGGGUUGUAGAUAAUUUGCGGAACCAAGUGCUCUUAUAUUUGGAUUAUUCAGCAAUUUGUGCACAACUACAGUAGAUUCUAAAUUGAAUGUUAAAACUAAUCUUAUGGCAUUUAUUCCAAUCUAACUCCACGCCCAUAAUAUUGAAGAGAAAGAAAUUAAGAUUCAGAUCCCUCUCUGUAUGAAGCAAACUUAAAGAAAGUAGCUUAUUAUUAAAUUUCCAAAAACAUUUUUCUUCCUCAUCUCAUCUUCUUUUAAACAAAACAAAAAAACCUAAUAGAAAAUAAUCAAAAAAAAAAAAAAAAAAUCAGUACUCAAGACUGACCUGAUAUGAAAAGAAAUAAGUUUUAUUUGCUAAAAGAUUAAAACAUCAUUCUCUACAAGUGUUCUCUUCAUGUUUUGGGUUAAACUUUCUUCAUUAAAACUAUGUUAGUUAAAAACUCAAAAUAAUAUAGAACAGUCUAAGAAUAUGGUAAACAGUUGAAAAUAUGUAACCUAUUAAAUACUGAUGAUGGAUCUGUCAUCCUCAUGGAAUAUGAUGGUAUUAGGGCUAGUUAUGAUACCUAACUAACUAGAAAUCGAUUCAAAAAUAAUCUUAACACAUGUAGUAACCAAGACGAAAAAAAACACGAAAGAAGGCAAGAAAGAAUCCCUCGUUCUAGCUCUUUCAAGCUCUCCUUUCAGAAUUCCAGCCAGCAACAAGGAAAAACAAAAGAGAAAAAAAAAGGAUAUAGGAAAGAAAUGAGUCUAUGAUUAGAUAAGAUGGUGAAGAUGGACAUUUUUAUCUUCUUGUGGUUGAUUAGGUUACAAUCGUUGACUUUAAUGGGCCAGCAUCCUGCCCCAUGACGGAGGCCGGAAUGAGCCGAUCACAGUUGAAGCCCACGGACACUGUGUGUCUAUACACUUUAAGUGGAUGGCUUGCACCCUUUUGAACAGCUCGAGCUUUUGGAGUUAGUGGUUAACGUCUUCGAUCCACAAGUGGUAUCAGAGCCAGUGGCGUGGGUUCGAUUCUCGCAUACUAAAAAUGUGCCCAAGUGCCGAGUGGGGUAUUGUCGGCUUUUAUAGGCCAGCAUACUGCCUUGUGACAGAGGCCGGGUUGGGCCGUAUCACAGCCGAAGCCCGCGGAAGCCGUGUGCCUAUAAACUUUAAGUAGGUUGGUUGCGCCCUUUCUAAAUGCUCAAGCUAUUGGAAUUAGUGGUUAAUGCCUUCGAUCCGGAGCAAUAAAUGCACGCCGAGUCGCCGACAGGUAAAGAAGUAAAGAAAAGUUACUUCCAUUUUUUUUUUCUUUUUGAGAAAAAGGUAGCAAGCUACCAGCUUCAUUCAUUGCGCAAAUGAAUUAAGCUCCAAAUUUUAGGCAACAAGGCUUCCAGAUGUCCGCCAAAUCAAAAGAAAAUACAAGGAGAAUAAAUGGGACAAAAUAAAGGGUUCGGAGGGCAUCGCCUCCGCCGGUCCACCGUGCCGCAGUUAGAGUGGCAAGCCAAUCAAGUAUAUCGCAUGCACGCGAUCUAACAACUAAAAGACUACUUGACAUGGAUUAAUUAUCACUUCUCUAUCCAAUCUGCUUAAAUUGAAUAAAAUCCUAGUCUCUAAACAAAAGGAAUCGCAAAGGGUAUAUCCAUUAUUAUCAAAUCAUACAGAAGAGUGCCGGACAAAGGAGGAGAAACCAGACGACCCAAGAUUCACUUGCUGGUGAUGUUCGAAUCACCGCCGAACUUCUCAGCUCCACAGAUCCAUCAAGACAUGCUUUUCUAUAGCACUCUAAAAACAAAUUUCUGUUUUAAUUAUUACUCACAAAAAUCUUGGGCAUCAGUAACCUACCAUAUGGAUCUCAUCACAAUAAAUCAUCAUCUUCCCCACACCCAAUUUGUAACCCUUGCAUCAAUCUUUCUAGUAAGAUUAAUUUCAUAUACCUUUCACAUCCGUUUUGGCAGGCAAUAUUCUAUGCACACUUCCAUGUUACGACGAGCGCAGAAACAAAAACGAGACGACGAACCUGCAGGUAGGGGUGAAGGCGCCGGGGACGCCGAAGAGGACGACCUUCUUGCCGGCAGCGAGGGAGUGUACGGACAGCUUCUGCAGCUCGUCCUUCUCGUCGAACCACGCCACCGUCCCGUCCGGAAGACUGUCGCCCACCCCAAUCGGAGCCAUUCUUUGUUUCCCCUUUUUUUUUCUGGAUUUUCUUCUUUCCUCACCUCCUCUUAUAAUGAGAUCGGAUAGACCGGAGCUAGCAGAGGGCAAACUUCAAAUACAACCCUGUGGUUUCACACUUUUUUACUUUGGUAUAUUAAAGUGUACCAAUUUAGUAUUCUAUAGUUGUAUUUUUCUCUUUUCGUCAACUUUUUCGUUAAUAUUUUGUUAAAUUAUAUACAAAAAAUUUCAGAUAUUCUGAUACCCUCACCUAAGUUUAUUGAAUAUUCAUUUUAGUACCUUUUAAUUUUAACUUUGUCACUGAUUUAACAGAUAAAAAUAGUGAAAGGAUAUUAAAUAUUCAUUUUAGUAUAUCCUGAUAUCCUGAUACCCUGACCUAAGUUUAUUGAAUAUUCAUUUUAGUACCUUUUAAUUUUAACUUUGUCACUGAUUUAACAGAUAAAAAUAGUGAAAGGGAUAAUAAAAAGAAAAAAUAAAAUUAUAAAAUACUAAAUUGAUACACUUUAAAUUAUAUAAUAUUAAUAUAAAAAAUUACGAAAUCAUAGGAGUAGUAUUUCAAGUUUUUUCUUGACUGAGUGAGGAGAAGAGAGAUGAUAUGAUAGGAUAUUAAUAUAAUACAAGCCUUCCGAGCAAAAAUAUACGAGAACCCCCUCAACUAUAACGUCGUCCUAAGAAAGGCUCAAACUUUUUUAAUCGGUUCAAUUGCUUAUUUCAGGAAUAAGUACAAGUUCAGACAUAUAUAGAAAAUAGACUAAUUUUAUAUUUGGAUGAAAAUUGAGUUAUUCCUGAGAAUAAAAUAAAUAGUAUUUGAAUAAUUAGAUUAGAACAAGAGGAACAAAGAGUUAUCAUUUUAAAUUAAAACUAUUUUAUCUAAUUAAUUAAAAUCAAAAUAUUACUUAAAAAUAAUUUUAAAAAUUAAUAAAUUUAUUAGCUAUGAAUAUUAUGUAAGAUAAUAAAAAUAUAUUUAUUUAUUAAUUAAUUAAUUAUAAAACUAAUUUAAUUUUUAAUUAGUUAGUAAAUUAUUUUAAUUAGAUAAGUAGUAAAAAAAAAUGUAAUUAGGUUAAUAAAAAUACUAAUUGUUGAUCAAUAUAAAUAUUAGUUUAUAGAUAAACAUAUUAAAUUAUUAAUAAUUAGCUAAUUAAUUACAAGUAAUAAAUUAAUUAAUUUUCUUAUUAUUUAAGCAAUAAAUAAUAAUUUAAAUAUAUUAAUUAAAUUAAUUAAUAAUUUAAUAUUAUAAUUAAAAUAAAUUUUAGAUUUUAAUUAAUCUUAUUUUCAAUUGGGAACAAACUUAUUUCAGAAAAAAUGGUGGAACAGUAGUUCCAACUUUAUAUUGAGUUAUACCAACUUAUUUUAAAGAUCCGAAAAUUACUAUUUUCGAUACGAAAAUUUUUGUUUGGGAAUAAAAGGAGAAACAGAGCCGGACCAAACACUGUCCUAUUUUAUUGGACAUCAUAUUUUUGCCAUCGAAUCUUCAUUUUUUAAACGAUAAAUAGAGAAAUUUUAUCAAACUUAUUAAUGCUGGAUCAAUUUUUAUAUUUAACUAACUAGAAUAUUAAUUAGAUAAUUUUUAAUUUAAUCAAUCUUAAUAACAGUUAUAAAAAUAAAGUUAACAAUUUUUUAAUGAAAAAAAAAUGCCAAGUUAGGCCUCGCGUCAUUGUUUUUUAUAACUCUUUUAAUAAUUUAUUUUGUUCUCAAAACUUAUAAUAUGCUCUCAUCAAGUGAUUAACAAAAAAUUUAUUAAAAAGUUUUGAACGCAAAGUAAACUUACUUUUAUAAUUUUAAUUUUUUGAAUAAAAAAUAUUUUUGCUAUAUAAAUUAUAAAUAAUUCAUUAAUUUCUUUUACAUUAUUUUAUAUAAGAAUUUUAUUUCAAAAAAGAGUAAACUUCAACUAUCACUCCGGUGGGUUUUGUAUUUUCUCACUUUAGUACCAUGUGGUUUAAAGAGUAUCAGUUUAUUACCAUAUAGUUUCAUUUUUCUUUUCUGUCAGCUCUUCCGUUAACAUUUCGUUAAAUUAUUAUAGGCUAACUUACAGAAAACUUUCCUGUCAAAAUCCAAUUUUUCACUUUUUUCCCCUGUCAUUUAAAAACCUACACUUUACCCCAGAGGGUACAGUAUGAACUAUGAUGGUAAAAUGAUCAUUUUGCCCCUCACUAUGUUCACAUUAGGAAAGAAGGCUGAGAGCAUUUUUGGCAUAAAAAAAUAUAUAAUAAUAUUUUAUAAACGGAACCCUAACGGAUUACUAACGGCAAGGGGCGAAGUGAACAUUUUUCAUUUUAUAAGGAGGCAAAGUGUAGAUUUUUAAAUGACAAGAGGGGAAAGUGAAAAAUCGAAUUUUGAUAGGAAAUUUUAUGUAAUUUAGCCAUUAUUAUAUACAAAAAACUUUAGAUAUCCUAACUAGGCUUAUCAAAUAUUCACUUUACUGUCUUUUAGUUUUAGCUUUGUCACUAAUUUAAUAAAAAAAAAUUAGUGAAGGUGAUAAUAAAAAGAGAAAAAUAAAAUAACUGAGUACUAAAUUGAUACACUUUAAAAGGUUAAUUUCAUACAGGUCCCUACAAAUAUAGUGAAUAGCAGAUAUAUCCCUGCAAAGUUCAACUUUCAUAAGUUAUUCCUGCAAAAGUCUUAUUGUAUUCAGAUAUGUCCCUGCCGUUAAUACCUGUUAGAGAAAUCUAGUUAACUACAGUUAAAAUACUUAACCAUGAUUAGUUAAUAAAGUAAAAUGACAUUUUUACCAUUCUUCUUCUUCCCCUUCCUCUUCUUCUUCCUCUGCUUCUUCUUCCUCCUCUUCCUCUUCCUCUUCCUCUCCUACUUCUUCUUCCUCUUCUUCUUCGUAUCCUCAUUUUCCUCCUUCUUUUCUCCUCUUUCUUCUUCUUCGUCAUCGUCGUCGAUGAUCCGAUCGUCGUCGCCGUCGUGGUGCCUGCGCCGGCCGUCGUCACGGGCGCCUCCGACGGCAUCGGUCGCGCCUUCGCCUUCCGCCUCUUCCUUGUCCUUGUUGGCCGCAACCGCGACAAGCUCCGCAAGGUCGCCGCCGCCGCCGCCGCCGUCUGCUCCCACAGCAUGAAGAGGAAGAGGAAGAGGAAGAUGAAGAGGGCAAGAGCAAAAUAGUAAUUUUACAACUCUACUGUUAAAAAAUUAAUAGUUCUCUAACAGAUCCAAACUAAAAGGACAUAUCUGAAUAUAUUAAGACUUUUACAUGAAUAACUUAUAAAAAUUAAACUUUAUAAGGAUAUAUCUGUUAUUCAUCAUAUUUGCAGGGACCUAUAUAAAAUUAACUCCACUUUAAAUUAUAGGGUUAGUAUUUAAAGUUUUUUCAAAAAAAAAAGUGACAAUAACCAAGAGAGGCCUCCUUUUGGAAACAACGUGUAGUUGAGGGGCUUCAAGCAUUAUUAUCACAAAACUGAGGUGGGAGCAGGUAUGCCAUUACUACGAAGUGCUACAGUCCACGCUGGUGUGCCUCCGAUUCUUCGCCCGCGAAUAUUCUAAUAAAAAAUUUAAAUAAAUUAAAAAAGAUAUUUAAAAUUUGACUAAGGGUGUAUUUGGUUACUUGUAAAAUCAUCUAAAAACCUUUUUUGGGUUGAAAAGUAAAAUUUUGAUGAUUAUUUACUUGUAAAAAAUAAUAGUUUUUUUAAAAAAAUUACGAACAAAAAAGAAAAACGAAGUUUUUAUUUUACACUUGAACCGAGUGGAAAACAAAAACACGUGGCCUUGUGCGCUGCGUUGGGGAGACAAAGCACGCUGCCCACGAGGUCCACUCCACAUCGUAGACUGUAUUAUAAAUAUUAUUUAUAAAUAUAUAGUAAUUUAUUUUUUAAUAUUAUAUACUAUUAUGAUCGACCGUCUCUAUAGCAAGUGGCAAAGAGCUUGAUGGUUGGUAUCUGAGACCCAAGUUUGAAUCCUAGUUGAUUCACAUUUUUAGCUAAGUUUAUUUCUAAAUGAAAUAAAUGAAGCGGGUAGCGUGCUAUGUAAGGACUGAGAUUUUUUUUACUGUACAACUAAACUCUCUGUUGACGAUGUUUAUGUGUGUAAUUUAAUUACAUAAGCACUCGUCAAGUUUCAGGAGAAAAUGAGCUAAAACGGAGAAGUUACGCGAUUAUUAGUUUUCACUUAAGUGAAUAGUAACUCCGGUUUUUCGGAGAAGCCACGGAGUAGAGUUGGCUUCUGGUGCGUAUCGNACUCUGCUAAUAUAUGUAGUAUAAUAAUUAUUAUAUAUAUUAAUAAUACAUAUAUAUAUAUAUAUUAUAUAUAAUAAGAAAAAAUAUAUAUAAUAAUUUUUUAAUGAUAACUUUUUUUCUUUCAACCAAACAACUGUAACAGAAAAUUAUUUUUUUUCCCUACAAAUCAAGCAUUAUAGAGCGUAAAAUUUAUUUUCCUCCGAAAAUAUUUUUCUACCGAAAAUAUUUUUUCUACCGAAAAUAUUUUUUCAUAGUUGAGUUUUACAUGUGGGCUAGAUGGAUUAGUCCAUAUCCAAACUAAAAUAUAAGAUGUUUUUGACGUUCUUUUCUUUUUAAAAUUUUUUUAAUAUUUUGAAAGAAAAAACAGCAAACUAUUUAUUUUAUUUAUUUUUAAAAAUAAACUAAGUUAAAACUAUAAAUUAACUAAAUUUCAAAUUUGAAAUCUCAAACUAUUAAUUAUCAAAUUCUCAGCCAAUUAUAUUAGAUACCAUUAGUCAAAAGAAAAUAAGAAUAAUUAUUUAUAUACCACUGAAAAAUCCCACACUUUCUUAUAUCCCGUCGAAAGCUUAUAUAAAAAUUAUAUUUUUANCAUAGUCUUUUCUCACAUUCACAUGCAUAUAGGGUUAUUCGUUUCCUUUGUUCACAUAGUUCUAUAUCACUCACAAUGAUCUUAAGCAGAUAAUUGAUGCCACCAACAAAUACCAUUCAUUACCCUACAUGCAAGAAUGCUAUAAUACCAACAUGCUCAAAAGAAAUAACAUAGACAUAGAAAGAGACUCGGUAUUUUCGAAUAGCACCCCCUAUAUUUUAAUGUUACGAGGAUGCCGAAACGCAAUUUUCUGGAUUUUUUGAAGCCUUGUACGCCGCGAACGGCGACAAACUAUAGUAAAUCAGCUUGUUUCCUUAAUAUCUUCGCGCACGCUCGUCGUAUCGCCGAACGGAGCGCACCAACGCGUUCGUUGACCUACCAAUUAGGUUAGAAUGAGAUCAAUCCCAAGCUUCGACCUCAUUUUUUACAAAAUCCCAAAUUUGGGUCCCUCAACAAUAUCAUCUUCACCAUUUUUGGUCCUCAACAUGAAGAAAAUGGAGAAAAUCCACCAUAGAGAUCUCUAGAUGCUUCAACUAGAAGCAAAAAUCCAAAACCUAACUUACAAUCACAAGAACUCACCUUUGGAGCCCAAGCUUUCCUUCAAAAGCCCUUGCCUAGCUUGCUCUUCACCUUGGAGAGCUUCUUCUCCAAGCUUUUCUCCUCCAAGCCCUCCUUAGUCCAAGCCCUAGAGAGAGAGGGAGAGGGAGAGGAGAGGUUUUUAGAGAGAGAGAGGGAAAGGUCUUGUGUUUGGGUGUGAGGGAAAUGAGAGUUAACCCUAACUCUACCAUCAUAACAUCCAAUCCAUGCUACAAUUGCACUUAAGCCCCUCUCAUUUUUAUUUUUGCAAACAGCCCUUAUUGUGCAAAUCCCGCAGUCGAGGAACGGUCUCUCCCUUAGGGACCGGUUCCCGAGAGCUCUCUCGCAGCCUUCGCAGAAGGGGACCGGUCUCCCCCCGGUGCAACCGGUCUCUCGGGACCGGUCUCUCGCCAUAGGGACCGGUUCCCGAGAGCUCAAUUUUCAGGACUUAGCCGAUUUUUCUCUCUUUUCUAUGGCUGCGUGUGCGGGGACCGGUCUCUUCUUCAGGGACCGGUCCCCGAGAAUCCAAAAUUCUGGGACUUAUUCAUUUUUCAGAAUUCACUCUCUCGGGUCCCUUUUUCACUCUAUAUAGGUUCUAAUGCACUUAGAGCCUAUACCAACUCGUUCCACUCCGCGUUCUGCUCACUUCGACGGAACUCAGCACGACUCACGGGGAAAUGCUAUGUUACAGCCUAUAUACUAUGAAUAAGAAAAAUAUAAUAGUCCUUCAGUAAAUAUAUUGUUUUUAUUUCACUCUAUUGCAUAAUUGAUUAGAUUUUUUAUAGUUUGCAUGUUCAAAUAUAUAUUUUCUGACUGUUUUAUUUUCUUUUUUUUUUGUAAUAUUUGAUUCUUAUUAUUUUUGUUGCCUCAUGACAGUUAUAUUGUAGUGUUUCAGCAAAUAUAUAUAUUUUGUCAUUUUAAUCCUAUUUCUUAGUUGAUUAGGUUUUUUGUAAUUUUUGUUUUCACACACUACAACAAAAAUAGAUAUUUAGUGGCAAUUUAAUAACGGCAAUUAUCGAAUGACUGUUAUUAUUUAUUAUCAAAUUAUAUUUAGCAGUAAUUAUUUUAAGGGGUUAAUUUCAUACAAGUCCCUACAAACAUGGUGAAUAGCAGAUAUAUCUCUGCAAAGUUCAACUUUCAUAAGUUAUCCCUACAAAAGUUCUAAUGUAUUUAGAUAUGUCCCUGUCGUUAAUACCCGAUAGAGAAAUCUAGUUAACCACAAUUAAAAUACUUAACCGUGAUUAGUUAAUAAGGUAAAAUGACAUUUUUACCCUUCUUCUUCUUCUUCUUCCUCUGCUUCUUCUUCCUCUUCCUCUUCCUCUUCCUCUUUCUCUUCCUCUCCUGCUUCUUCUUUUUCCUCUUUUUCUUCGUAUCCUCAUUUUCCUCCUGUAUGAAAUUAACCCUAUUUUAAAUUAUAUAAUUUUUACAGACUAAUAAUAACUAGUUUAGGAACCCGCGCGAUGCGGCGGAUAGAAAUUAUAAUCAAAAUUUACAAAUUAAAUAUAAACAAUAAUAAAAAAUAUGAUCGGUUAAUAAUAUAAAAAAAAUAUAUUACAAGAAAUUAGAAUGAGAAUAUAAUCCAGUGGAGAACAAAGAAAGAAAACAAAAAGAAAGAACUAUAGGAAAAUAAAAAUUAUUGUAUAGAUAGAAAUAAAAAAAGUAAUUUAAUGCAAGAAUAUAAGAGAGAAAAAAAUUUGGAGGUGAUUUCGUUAGGGUUGGUUUCGUUAUUUGACGAAUUAAUGGGCUUUGGUUUCUUCUUUUCUGCAUCAAAAUCAAAUUUCAAAAAAAAUAACAAUUAAAAUAAAAUAAAAUUAGUAGAAAAAAAAUAGAGGAAAAAAUUAUUUUUUAAAUUCAUUGAAAUGUAAAAUCUCACCUGAAAGAAGGCUUCGGAUUCAUAGCUCUUUGAUUCAUCGUCACAUGCUUUUUCUCUGCACUAAAUCAAAUCAAAAUUAUAAAAAUUAGUAUUUAAAAAUUAAUAAUAAUAAUAAUUUGGAACCUAUAAAUAUUAU
rnacentral:lncRNA from 1 species